rnacentral:lncRNA from 1 species
UUCUAAUGAGAGUUGUAAUUUGGGCGUAUCAAAUAUUGGCUCCGUUGUCGAGGAAUAUGAUUGUCAAUUAUGUUUAUGAGUGUUAAUUGAUAUUUGGUCAAGUUACUAAUUUUACUUUUAUUUGUUGUUUUUGUUUAUUAAAGGAUCUUUAUUUUGCAUGCCAAGUACGAGGAGGUCAAGAGAACCAUUAUUACCAUAUCAUCCAAAAUCUCAAUUAAUUGGUAGAAUGAAAGAUCAAUAAGAAGCAGAUAUACUAGCUGCCUUAGCUAGAGCUCAAUUGAAUUAACAAAAUAAUGGUUAUCCAGCUCGUGUUCCUAACCUAGUUGAGGAUGACUUGGGAGAUGAUGAUCUAAUUGACCCUGUAAAUAGGAGGUGUGGUUAGAAUGUAGCUGCACCAGUGAAUAGGAAUCAGGUAGCUAAAAGAAGAGCAAACUGCCAACCUGUUGUGCAGUUUACAACUGAUAAGGAAGAUCACACAGAUUUGGACGAGGUUGGUAUCACAGGAGUAAUUAUUCCACCACCAUUAGCACCAGGAGUGAAGUUCAAAAUCACAAGUACCAUGAUACAGUUGCUUAACCUCAAAGGGUUGUUUGAUGGACUCCAGGGGACGAUCCAAAUAUGCACUUAGUGAACUUCAUCAACAUCUGUAAAUCUUUUGACAACCCUGGAGUUGUACGAAAUGCAAUUUAGUUGUAGUUAUUUCUGUUGUCUCUGUCUGGGGAGGCAAUAAUGUGCUAAAUGAAUUGACUCCCGAUUUUAUAUCAAAUUAGAGGCAGUUAAAAGGAUAUUUCCUAGAAAGGUUCUUUCUACCUUCCAGGAUAUUACAGUUGAGGGAUGAGAUUAGCAACUUCAGGCAGUUACCGAAGGAGGCACUCCAUGAGGCUUGGAUGAGAUUUAAGAAUAAGUUGACACAGUUCCCUAACCACAAGAAGACUGAUUAGCGUUUGAUGGAGACAUUCUACAAGGCUUUAAACUCCAUCACUAAACUAACCAUAGAUAAUGCUGUAGGAAGAGCAUUUAUGGAGCUUACUUUCACUGAGGCUGCAGAUAUGUUGGAGCGAUUGAUGAAGAUAAGUAGAGCUUGGCAUACCAGGUGGUUUUUGGUAUUAAGCCCUACUAUAUCUAGUGGUAUGUCUGUGGAGCAGUGAUAGAAAGAGGAAGAGUGCGAAGUACGACCAAGAUAUGGUGCAUAUGAAGACCCAGAUGGAUUUGCUCAUAAAGCAUUUGCUAUUUGCGAAGACUGAAAAGGUAAAAUCCAUUUAGUCUAAAGGUAGAACUAAUUCUGAUUCUGAGGAGAAAGCUAAUUAUUUGAACAACCAGGGGGUUUCUGAGGCAAUAGCCAAGGGAAUCAAGGUUGGACUUAUUAUGAUAAAUCUGGUUACAGAGAUUAUGACCAAGGAAGCUGGAAAAAUAAGAAUGAUAGGAGUGGAUUGUAUGUGCUUCCUGGAAAUAGUGACAUUGCUGCUACUAGUUCGGGUAAGAUAUCCAUGGGGGACAUGAUAGAAAAGUUAUUAAAAGGGGUGGAGUCAACUAAUGUCGGUGUGAUAACGAUGAAGGGUGACUUUUCCUCUAUGAGUCAGUUGGUCAAUUCACAUUCAACUUUACUAAAGCAGUUGGAGCAGCAGAUAAACCAACUUUUAGUGAUACUUAACCAGAGAUAGAGUGGUACUUUACUGAGCAACACGGUGUAAAACCCUCAGAAUAAUGGGUCUUUUAUGGCGAUCGCUACCCGUAGUGGUAAAGUAUUAUCGGGCCCUUUUGUGGGCAAGCCUGUGAUUGAUGAUAUGGUAGAAUUGGAUAGGAAAGCAGAAGAUAACUAUCCAGUGGAGUUUGAGAAGCUGGAUAUUGAUGUCAUUCCAUCUAACCAUCAAAAUACUGAUGAGUUAGAAAAAAACAUGGGAAAGAAGGGAGAAGCAGUGGUUAAAGUAAUGCCAAAACCACUCCCUUCAUUUCCUUCUUGGCUGAAGAAAAAGGUGGAUGACAUAAAAUUUAGCAAGUUCAUGGUAAUGCUAUAAUAGUUGACUAUGAAUGUGCCUUUGGUGGAGGUACAGGAACAAAUGCCUGGACACGCUAAAUUUAUGAAGGAUCUUGUCACAAAGAAGAGGAUGGUGAGCUAUGAACCAAUGAAAAAUCUUCACCAUUGUAGUGCCAUUUUGAUAAAAUCCUUAGUGUAAAAGAAAGCAAAUCCUGGAGCAUUCACCAUCCUGUGUACUAUUGGGUCACUGGAUUUUGCGAAGGCCCUAUGUGAUCUUAGGGUAAGUAUUAAUCUGAUGCAACUAGCAGUUUAUAAGAAGUUGGGGUUAGGAGAUCCCAAGCCCACUAACAUGAGACUUGUGAUGGCAGAAAGAUCAGUGAAGUGACUAGUUGGUAUAUAAUAUGAUGUUCUUAUGAAAGUAGCCAAUUUUAUUUUUCCCAUCGACUUUGUGAUCCCAGAUUAUGAGGUGGACUUUGAGGUACCCAUAAUCUUUGGUAGACCUUUCCUCACAACUGGGAGUAUAUUGAUUUACUUGUGGGAAAAUGAGCUGCAACUUAGGCUCAAUGAUGAGGUGUCUAAUUUGAUAUUUACCAGUCAAUGAAGAAACACAAAGAGAUAAGUGUAUUCUCCAUUGUUGAUGUUUAUUAUGAAGAUAAGCGAGAGGUGCUGAUAGAGGGUAAAUUUAUUGUUGAAACUUUGGUUGUGGUCUUGAUGAACUUUGAUAGCGAAGGUAUUGAGGAAUACGAGAAGACAGUGUAUGCCCAGAAAAAAAUAGGGUCAUAUUCAUAUGCUCCCAAGAAGCUGUAUUUAGACUUUAAAAAUACCCUAACACCACCGGCUAAGCCAUCUAUUGAAGAUCCACUUGUGUUAGAGUUGAAGGAGUUGCUGGGCCAUCUACGGUAUGUGUUUCUAAGCAGUGGAAACACUUUACUGUGAUUAUUACAGUAGAUUUAGAGGAGCAAUAGGUUGAAGCCCUUAUCUCUGUGCUUAGGAUAUACAAAAAGGUCAUAGAAUUGACUAUUGCCGAUAUUAUUGGUAUUCUUCCGUGUAUAUGCACUCACAAAAUUCAGCUUGAAGAAGAUUACACACCAACUAUUGAGCAUCAAUGUAGAUUAAACCCACUAAUGCAAGAAGUGGUAAAAAAGAAGAUCAUUAAAUGGCUUGACACAAGGGUAGUGUACCCCAUCUCUGACAGUAAGUGGGUGAGUCCCGUGCAAUGUGUACCCAAGAAAGAAGGAAUGACUGUGGUCGCUAAUAAGAAUAACGAGUUAAUUCCACUUAGGCCAGUCACUGAGUGGAGAGUUUGUAUGGAUUAUUAGAAGUUAAACUCGUGGACUCUGAAGGAUCAUUUCCAAAUGAUCUUUAUGGAUUAAAUGCUUAAUCGCCUAAUAGGAAGGGGUUGGUACUACUUUAUAGAUGGGUAUUCGGGAUACAACAAGAUUUUGAUUGCUCCUAAAGACCAGAAUAAGACAACAUUCACGUGACCGUAUGCCAUAUUUGCAUUCAAGAGGAUGUCGUUCGGUUUAUGUAAUGCACCCGCCAUAUUCUAACAGUGCAUGAUAUCUAUUUUCUCCGAAAUGGUGGAUAACACCUUGAAGGUGUUCAUGGAUGAUUUUUCUGUAGUGGGUGACUCAUUUGAGCUAUGUCUGGUAAAUUUGAGUAGAGCGCUGUAGAAAUGCAAGAAAUUCAAUCUCAUGCUGAACUAGGAGAAAUUCCACUUCAUGGUGAAGGAGGGCAUUGUGCUUGGACAUUGAAUUUCAGCCAAGGGGAUUGAAGUUGAUCGGGCAAAAAUAGAGGUGAUAGAGAAAUUACCCCCUCCUAUCUCUGUGAACGGAGUUCAUAGUUUCUUGGGGCAUGCUGGAUUCUACCACCAAUUUAUUAAAGACUUCUCCAAAAUUGCAAAUCCACUAUGCAAAUUGUUAGAGAAGAAGGCUAAGUUUGUAUUUGAUGAUGAUUGUAGGAAAGCAUUUGAAUUCCUUAAAGAAAAACUGGUGGCUACCCCAGUUAUUGUUUCUCCUGACUGGUCCAAUCCAUUCAAAAUCAUGUGUGAUGCAAGUGGAGUGGCACUUAGGGUUGUGCUUGGCCAGAAGAAAGAAAAAUUAUUUCACCCCAUUUACUAUGCGAGCAAGGCAUUGAAUGGGGCACAGAAGAAUUACAUUGUUACUGAGUAGGAACUUCUCACGGUUGUCUAUGAUUUUGAGAAGUUUCGUGCUUACUUGUUGGGAACCAAGGUGGUGGUUCGUACAGACCACACUUCCUUGAGAUAUUUGAUGGAAAAAAGGAUGCUAAACCAAGGUUAAUUAGAUGGGUGCUACUUCUAUAAGAGUUUGAAUUUGAGGUUAAAGACAGGAAGGGAUCUGAAAAUCAAGUCGCAGACCAUCUAUCCAGGCUUGAGGGGGACCAGGAAAUCACUGAUAAGUGUGAAAUUGAUGAUGCAUUCCCUAAUGAGAAAAUCCUUCUGCUGUGCUUGAAAGAGUGUCUUGGUAUGCAGACUUUGCCAAUUAUGUGGCAAGAGAUUUUAUUCCUAAAGAUCUUUCCUACCAUCAGAAAAGGAAAUACCUUACUGAUCCCAAAAGUUACUGCUGGGAUGAGCCAUAUCUAUUCAGGUGUUGUGCUAAUAAUAUUAUAAGAAAAUGCAUCCCAGAUGUUGAUGUGCUUAAUAUUUUGGAAGCCUUCUAUGCUUCCCCAGUUAGGGGUCACCAUGCAGGGAAUCGUACCGCAAGGAAAAUGCUGCAAAGUGGCUAUUAUUGGCCAACCUUAUUCAAGGAUGUAUACGAAUUUGUGAAGAGAUGUGACCAGUGUCAGAGGCAAGGUUUAAUUUUGAAGCAUUAUGAAAUGCCCAUGACAAAAAUGCAAGAGGUUAAAUUAUUCGACGUCUGGGGUAUUGAUUUCAUGGGUUCCUUUGCUAGUUAUUAUGGGUUGAAAUAUAUUUUAGUGGCUGUAGAUUAUGUAUCCAAAUGGGUAGAAGUUGUUGCCCUGGCUGAUAACGAAGGCAAGAGAGUGGUUACUUUUCUCAAAAAGAACAUUUUCUGUCGCUUUGGAGUACCAUGUACUAUCAUAAGCGAUGAAGGAUCUCAUUUUUGCAACAAAGUGUUUUGGGAUCCCUUGGCAAAAUAUGGAGUGAAACAGCAUAAAGUGGCAACUCCUACCACCCACAGACCAGUGGGAAAGUGGAGAUUUUGAGUCGGGAGAUAAAGGCCAUCCUAGCCAAAAUGGUGAACGUAAGUAGGCAAGAUUGGUCUCAAAAUCUCAAUGACAUUUUAUAGGCGUAUCAUACAGCUUUCAAGACAUCCAUUGGGAUAUCAUUUUACCAUCUAGUUUAUGGUAAAGCAUGCCAUUUGCCAAUAGAUCUGGAACAGAAUGCUUUAUGGGCACUCAAGAGGUUAAAUCUGAAUUAGAAGGAGGCAGCAGAUCUAAGACUGGGGUAGCUGAAUGAGAUGGAUGAAUUUUGUCUCAGGGCUUAUGAAAGAGCAGACCUGUACAAGGAAAGAAUGAAGAAAUAUCAUGAUCGGAGGAUUGAAAAGAGGAAUUUUCAGAAAGGCGAUUGGGUAUUACUCUUCAACUCUAGACUGAAGCUCUUCCCAGGUAAACUUAGGUUUAAGUGGUCAGGCCCAUUUAAAGUUGCACAUGUCUACUCAUCUGGAGUAGUUGAACAUGAAAAUGAACAUGGAAGCGUAUUCAAAGUCAAUGGUCAAUGAGACAAGCUAUAUAUCAGUCUAGUGGACUCAAUUAAAUGCUUAAGUACAGUUUAUCUCGACAAAGUCUGCAUAAUUAAAAUAACUGAGUCAUGUCGCGAUAAUAAAUUAGGCGCUAGUGGGAGGCAACCCACAAUGUGCUAUUGUAAGCAUAGUUAGAGUUAGUUUUUUCCUUUAGUGUAAUUUCAUGUGUUUGUUGAAGUGUGCAGGAAUAGAAAUGCAGGUAAACAAAAGUUGAACAAGUUUAGGAUAGCCGACGGGAAUGUUGACGGGCCGUCAUAGGUCUGACGGACCUUCACUGGACCCAUCAAAAGAAAUCCAGAAACCUGAGUUACUGGAAUGAGCCCGAUGGACAACUUGAUGGAUCAUCACAGUCUUGACAGACCGUCAACAUAACCAUCACCAUGAAGAAGGAAAAUCAGGUUGUUGGAUAGAUCUGAUGGGAAUUAUGAUGGACCGUCACCUCUGUGAUGGACCAUCUCCUUUAGCGUUGCAACAUGAUAGAUUGAUCAAGGUUCUGGUAAGUUUUGAUAGUGAACCACUAUUGGUGUGUCUGUCAAAAUAACCCUAAUUUUUAGCGAGUCGGGUCGGUUCAAUUUAAAGCUGAAUGAGUUAUUCUUAUCCAACCCAAACAUUUUUUAAUUGAUAAGAGAGAAUGGUUAUGUACGUUGACACCUUUUCAAAUCCUAAAACUAUUUAAAUUCUUCUGCAUUCAAAGUAUCAAGGAUCAUUCAUCUCCUCUUAGGACUCUCCCUUUUCCCCAUUCUCUUCUAUUUAAACAACUCUCUCAUUCUCUUAUUCUCAUUAGAAAGUAAGUUAAGUGUCUCACUGAUAAAGAAAUUUAAUAUUUGUGAAGUUCUACAAAUUCAGAGUACUAAAGAAUGCUGUAAAAACAAGGUAUGAUCACAAAUUUACUCUUCUUUCAAGAAUGAUGAACAUGAUUUGUGUGAGUUUUAUAAUGUUUGAAACAAACUUCAUCUUGUUUUUGCAUUAUUGUGCUUCUAAUUUAGUCGAACUCUGGUAAAUAUUGUUCUGGGUGAAGUAUGAGUAACCCAUGUACCAAAAAUGGCGAAACUAUUAUUUUAAUGUUGAAUUAAUACCAUUGUUGCGUGGAUAAUUAAGUAAUGUAAUUCAGAUGUUCGAAAAAUUGCCAAAGUGAAACCCGAUGUUGAAAAUUCAAAGUGAUGGUCAACUUGACGGACCAUCGAACACCCGACGGAUCAUCACUUUGAUCGUCAAAAAGUUUCUGAAGAAAUUGGUUACUGCUUCAGCCGUGACAACAACCUGACAAACCAUCAGACCCCUGAUAGACCAUCACAGUGACCAUUACAAGGCUAUAUGAUAAAUGCUUCAUUGGUUAAGACUUGACAGCCAGGGCGACGGACCAUCAUAGCCCCGAUAGACCGUCAACCCACCCAUCAAGUUAAGUUUUUAAUAAAUUUUUCCUGAUUCUGAUCCAACUAUUUCUUUAUUCCUUGUUAAGGUAAAUGGCACGCAAACUACCCAUAAGUAGAGGCGGUGGUAGGACUCAACAUGAAAGGGGCAAAAAUGAGCUGACAUUAAGUGAGGAGGCUCUGGCUUUCAAUACUCGGCAAAGGGAUAGGAUGAAUCAGACACUCUCCCAGUCUGAAGAGGAGAGUGAGAGCAGCAACAGUAGCACAAGUUCAAGCCCUAAUGAUGAAGGGGUCAAAACUUCCAAACUUGACCAAGUCAAGGCAUGAGAACAGGAAGAUCCCAAUGAUAUAAGGCAUAAGGACCCGCAAGUGCAGGAGGCAAUUUGGUGGCAAAUAGAGGGGAAAUGGGAGCACUUCUUGGCCUCUUUAUUUGUCUAUUUGUUAGAACCAACAACAAAUAGACAAAUAAAGAGGCCAAUAUUCAAAUAGAACCAAAUUGUGAUGACCGAGUUGCAUAAGUACCCAGAGUUUGAGGGGCGAUUUAAUGAAUAUGAGUUAACUUGGAUAAGCAAGCCUCUCGGGUCAUACCAACCAAAUCUUGUUCGAGAGUUCUUCGUCAACUAUUUAGAACUGGUAUAUAAGGACUGUCCCAAGGGUACCAAAGUUGCAGAUUUUCCAAACCGAGAAGAAGUUUCAGUACGAGGGGUCACUAUUGAUAUCUCUGCCCGCACACUAAACAGGAUGUUAUUUGGGCCAAAUUAAGAGGAAUUAUCAUCCAUGCCUGAACUUGAACAUAAUUUGAGGAUCGCCUCCACUCAAAGUCCUUGGUUAGCUAGGCUUAUUUCUGAAGAUGGUAACCUAUUAUAGGUCUAUAACACUAAAGAGCGGAUUGCUAAAUCGUCCCUCAGCUUUUGAGCAAAGUUUUGGUGGGCUGUGGUCAGGCUGCGAUUGAUGCCAAUAGGGGGAGAUACAAACUUAGAAUAGAACAAAGUAGUAUUGGUUGUUGGUUUUUUUGAAUGGAUGAAGGUUGAUUUUGGCCGUAUUAUUGCCGAUGAGAUGUUUAUCCGGGCACACAAAGUGUUAAGCGCUUUACCAUUUUUGUGUUUGAUCAUAGAAUUAUCCAGACAAGCCAAUGUGCCUUUAAUCCGAGGGGUUGACAAUGAGAUUCAAGCAACUCAUAGGCAGGAUAUUGAAAAAACAAAGGAUGACUUAAAAUAUAAGAUGCGGGUCAACAAACCUCCUGCUUAUCAGAAGCAGUUGGCUCCAGCUCCCGGGACUUUUGAGAUCCCCACACGUAUAUCGUUGCCUAUUACUACAUAUGUGCCACCAGAUUCUGAGCCACCUAGUACUUUUGCAGGAUCGACAUCUAUGCCACCAAUGGGUAAGACUUCAGACACUGCAUCUGUCCCACCUCAGUAUUCUGAGUACAAGAUGACACAGGAGAAUUUUUCCAAGUCUGUCAAAGCACAAAAAAAGUUUGAGAAAAAGCUGAAUGUAUGGGCUACGCAUUUCAAGCCAUUCAUUGAUUACAUUGUUGAGGAUGCCCUCAAGCCCUAUGAGAGUCUUCAUGCCAGGAUGGAUGACAUAGAGGAGCAUAUAAACAAGUGGUUGGAUGAAUUAUAUAUUCUAGAUUUUGCAAAGUUGUUGGUAGAGUUUAAGCAGGGACAAACUGAUAUAGCCGAGAUUAAGAGACAACCACUGCAACCCACUUUUGAUACUGAUUUGAUCAUUAGUGAUGAGGAUGAGAGCCUUGUUGAUUGGAUGGGUAGAAUUGUCAAAGACAAAGGUAAGCAGGUUGAUGAAAGUGCUGACAGGAAGGCCAUGAAAAGAAGAAGUCAAGAACAGAUGACACCUAAGAAAAGGUAUGUGAGAGACUUGAGGAAAGCUGUGAAGAGAUUGAAGAAAAAUAAAGAGUUGAGAAAGAAGAUAGCUGCGGAUGAAUCCGCAGGAGUGUCGAACAGUUCUUCCCCAGCUAGGGGGCCAAUUUUAGACCCAUUUUCUUUUGAGAUACCUCCGGUCCAGGAGGAAGCUGAUUUGAGCACCCCUACCACCAUGGGGGUCAACAUUGUUGCACCUGAGGCCAAAGAAGCCUUACUACAUUUGCCUGACUCAUCAGUCUGAGAGGUUUUGAAAGUAUUCCACCCCUUUGGACUUUAUUAUUAAUGCAUUUGAGGACAAAACAUUUACUUUUAGUAUACUUGUACUUGUUAUGUUUCGAUCACCACAAGGGUUUUUGUUACCUAUUUUUUUUCCCUCUCGUGUGCUAUCUUAUAGAACCGGCAUGUUUAGGUUGUAUGUUUAUUUUUCUUGUGAUGUACAUAUCGUUCUGUGAUUAUAAAUAUGUUAUUUUAUUUUCUUUUGGCACCCUUUUGUAUGUGUGGAUGACAAAUGAAUAUGGAAAAGUACUUUGAACAUAUUUGUAAGACAAUUCCUUCUUGUCACUAAGCAUAUGUUGAACAACCAUUUGUGUGAUUGCCAUUACAAAAUAGUGAAGUAUGCAUGACCAUGUUAUGUAAAUCCAAGAGUUGGUAGAAUAAGUGUGAACUCAUUGCCUGUGUGUGCGAGUGUUUGUUAUAGUUCCUUCAUAGUUUAUAUAACUAGAACUUGCCCGGUUCUUUGGUGUUAUUUUAUGAUUGAUUCAAUAAGAUAGGAUAGCAGGGCCCCUUCUAAUUAUAAGUACACUUAGCCAUAAAUAAAGACCCCACCAAAAAUAUUCUUUUUCCCUUUUUGAACCCUUUUUGAGCUUCCAUUAAUGUUUGUUCAACCCCUACAAUUCCAAUUCACUCUCUUUAGGAUGUUAGUAACUAAAUUUGGCCCUGGUCCAUUUGUGGAUAUCUCGUACCUUAACUCAGGCAAAAUGCUUAAGUUAAGGGUGGCUACUGUCGAAAAGUUAACAGUCUGAGGUAAGUGGUUUGGGAGUUGAAAUAAAAUAUUACAUCCGACCCUGAUCUAGUUAGAUAUUGUAGAUCUAGUUAGAUAUUGUACACCUCAAUCGAUAGCAUCAGCAUAAGUUGAGGGUGGUUGAUGCAGAUCCUUUUUUGUGAAAGUGUGGAUGAAUAGUAUGGAUUGUAAGUGAAGUAGAAAAUCAAUAGUCUUGGUGAGUAACAAUCUAGGGAAAAGAAAGUGAACUCAAAGUCACUUUUUCCAAAAUUAUUCCUCACCCAUCACUGAAACUUUAUUACAAGCCUUAGAAAGUCCUGCUUAAUAUUUGAGAAUCAACCAUAGCGGAACAUUAGAUGAUAAGGGAAAGCUUAUGGGUGUAUAUACUGUGUUUGCAACUUCGUUUAUGAGAGCGAGAGUCUUAGUUUUUGUCCACAGGUUAAAUGAAUAAAGUGUGGUGGACUUCUUUAACUGUGAGGGCAAUUUGAGUUAUACUUAGUUUUGUUGACUUCUAUGGAAUAUUGUGUCUAUGGUUAUAUAUAUACUAAAUUAUAAAUAAUGCUUGUUAUAGAUCCUGAUAUAUUUAGACCACAUGAGUGAGAUGACAGUUGAGUGGUUGUAUAAAAUCUAGUUCAACAGUUGAAUGCCCAUCAUUGUGUUUGUUCAUGCAUGCGAUUUGGUGUUGAGUUGCUUGAGGAAAAGCAAUUGUCCUAGGCUGAGGGUGUUGAUGUUUUAGCUUUUGACGGAAUAUUUUACAUCUUUCACAAGGGAUAAUUGUGCGUUUUAAGAAACUGUUGUUGUAUUUGAUGCUGGAUUUUAAUGUUUUAAGGUCAAAGACUUAGUUGAAGAAGUAACUUGGAAAAGCAGUAGAAAAAAGACACUAGCGGUCAAACUGAUGGACCGUCAACCAUGUGACGAACCUUCGGGGUGCCCGUCAACACUAAGUAGAAAGUACAAACUUGCUGGUCAUUUCAACGGUCCAAGCGACGAACCGUCAGGCCACUGACGGGCCUUCAACUUGGCCUUCAUCCUAAAGCAGAAUGUGUCCUACGUAGUAAUGAAGUGAUGGUCCAGAUGACGGGCUGUCAACCUGGCCAUCAUAGUUGAAAAUGAAAGAAGAGCUUCUAGAUCCCAGUGACGGUCCAAGUGAUGGAAUGUCAGGUCACUGACGGGCCAUCAACCUUGAAGCGGCAAUCCGAGUUUCGAAUUUUAAAACCCCAAUCCCUGAAAACAUAUAAAUACCCAAUCUAGGUCUAGAUUAGGUUAUCUUUUAUCUUAUUUCCAUUUUCUUUAAACAUAUUGUAUGUAUUAUUCUCUGAGAUUACAAGCUACUAUUGUGGAUCUAAGAAUUUAAAUUAUUAUUCUCACUGAAGAUCAAGAACAAUUGUGGGAAUUUUUUAAAGUAAUUCAUUGAAUUAAUUUAUGAACAAAACAAUGUUUUCUUCUUCUUCUUUUGAGAUGUGUAGCUAAAGCGCCCAUAACUAGGGUUAUGAGAGCCUUGAUGUGAUUUGAUGAUUGGGGUUGUGAGGAUGCUUAAUUUUUGUAACUAAUUGAGAUUGUAUAAACUCCUCUUCACAAUCAUGACCUUUCUUGGUUGCAAACUCGAAGAAGAACAUCACUUAUUUGAGUAGAAAAGUGUGCGUUCGGAAAAGAGGAGGUUUACAAGGAAUUCAAAGGCUUUAACCUUUCGAUUAAGGGUUGAUGCCUUAACGGGAUCAACCCUCUUGGGAAACCAAUUGAAUAAGCCAGUGCAUUCUUUGAGUUCAAAAGAAUUAAAGAGUAAUAAUCCAUUUAGGUUGAGAAAUGAAUGGGUGAACUUUAGAAUUCAAUAAUUCUUGCAAUUGAAAUUGAAAAUUCGAAAUUUAGGUCAACUCAUAACCCUAACUGCUUGAACAUCUUGGUGAAAAUAAUCCUAGUUUGUCUAAUCUCAUUGAUUUAAAACCUACAAUAACACUCAUGAGUUGGAACAAUACUUGUUAACAAAUCAAAACUCCCCUUUACUCCGGAACCUUCGAUCAAUCGUCCAUUGAUAAUCAGAAGGCUUAAUUAACACAGUAUUCCCUGUAGGAUUCAACCCCAACUUAGUUGGGUUCUAUAUUUGACGACGAUAGCCUACGCUUUCUAACGAGAGUUGUAAUUUGGGGGUAUCAGUAUCCCUAGGAGAUCGUCAGGAAAGACUUCCGGGAAUUCAUUAACUACCGAAACAAAUUGGAUGAAAGGACUUUCAGUACUAGAAUCUUUGAUCCAAAUAAGAUGGUACAAAUACCCCUUCAAAUUAGGUUUACGAGCUCUGAGAUAAGAUAUGAACUUCCCCCUAGGUGCUAAAGAAUACCCCUCCCUCUCAAUCACUUGUUCAUUCAGAAAGGAGAAAGUGACUUUUCGGGUUCUAUAGUCUAGUGUGCAUAACACGAAUGGAGCCUAUACAUCCCCAAAAUAGCAUCAAACUCAAUCAUAUCAAGCUCUUCAAGGUCUGCCACAGUAUCACAAUUAGAAAUGGACACAACACAGUUUCUAUACACCCUCCUAGGCACAAUAGAGUCACCAACAGAAGUAGAAAUAGAGAAGGGUUCCAGAAUAUUUUCAGGCUCAAAACCAAAACUAACUGCCACAUACGGGGUCACAUAUGAUACAAGAACAACCAAGAACACAUAAAACAAACACCCAAAACAGUCCACAAGUUCAAGAGAACCAAGGACCCUUUGAGUGACCCCUCUUGGAUUCAAGAACAACAACAAGAACACAAAGUAUUGUGGUGUUUAACACCUAAUUUCCAGCGAUCCACAAACUAUAUUAUCAACAUAAUAUGAGAAAAACAAUAUUACAUCAACAAGACACUCAUGGGUUAAACUAACAAUAGCAAGAAAUCCGAAACUUACAACAAUAAUACAAGAUAGAUAGUUAGACCAAAUGAAGUGACAAUCUUAAGAACCCAAGAAUUGUGAGACUCUUGGACCCUUAACACUACCCACAACAUAAACCUAAGUCGAACUUUGACACAAGAGGUAUGUUACCUCCUAUAAACACCAACGUAUCAAGCCAACGAUGCAACAAAAAUGAUAUCCAUACUUGGGCAGCCCUAGUUACGGAUUGGUGAAUUUUCCAAGCCCUACAACUGAGUGUUACACUCCUCACACUAGAGAGAGUUUAUCUUACAUCAAUAAACAACUAAGUCCUAAAAACCCUAUCUUGUUCUAUUUAUAUUAUAUUAUAAAAGAAGACAAAUGACUACACUACCCUUAAUGAGAGGGGUGGCCAUAGAGUGCAUUUUGUACAAAGUGAAAGGACCAAAAUGCCCUCAAUGAAGAUUGCCUAAAAACCAUGAGCUAUUAAGUGUCCAAAACUGUGAAUCAUCAAGUCUUCAAUGCUACAAGCAAUCUUUCACUUACGGUCUUAAUGAAUGGUAUGCUCAAUGGUAGGCUCAAAAUAGGUCUUCGUUGCAUAUUUUUUUGCCCUCGGGGUGACCAAGUCUUGAGCCUUUAAGUGAUUGUCUCCAAUCAUGUUUUCAAAAAUUAGGGUGGCCAUUUCACUUGUAUCAUCCUUCCCUUCCUGAAAAGGAUUCAACCUCGAAUCCAAACCUAGCAAGAACGAAGAGAAGACAAACAAACAUCACAUCCUCAUGACAUGAGGGUUAGAAUUAGUACAAUAAACAACAUCAACAUGCCAAGGAGGUACAGACUUGAGAUAUAGCCACACAUCCUUGACUUUAAUCACAAGGGGCUUAGCAAAAAUAUUACAAAGGGGUGGUGCCCUAAUUGAAAGUAAAGUCCACGCAACACAUAUAGCAAUAUCACUCAAACAAGUUGACCGACCAAUAACUAUCCAUCCUUCACACCCUAAGAAGUUACCAGAGUCAAAUGGAAGACGUAACCAAGGACUUAGGUCUCGGUCACUUUCAUUCUCACCUAGGGUGCCAUCCUCAGGUUAAGAAAGCCCUCUUUAUCACUAUUGCAAAUAUCAUGCCCAAAAAGAGGGUUGAGAAAGGUGUUCCAUAAGACAACUUUAAAUAAAGGGUUCUCAUGCAUGCACUUACUACUAGUUUCAAAAUCUCCACUAAGAAUAUGCCCAACAUAAGAAACACUUAAAGAAGAAGUAGAUAGAAUUUCUAAACACACAUCACCUUCUCUUUCAAAUGAGCAAUCCUUACUUAGACACAAAUCACCACGGGUAGCCAAAGGAUCACAAGCAAAACCAUCUUUACCAAGAUAAUCACAAUUCAAGUUUCCUAAACAAUCCAGCAUAUCAAGGUCUUUUCUACUCGAUUAAUCAUUGUCCACAUUAUCAUUAGCUGUUGGACUCUUAUAUACCAACGUAGACUCACCUUGUUUUUCACAAGGGUCAACUAGUGUGUGAAUACUCUCGCCACUUGGUAAUGAAACCUUAGUCAAGUUAUAAGUGCUAGCACUAGAUGGAAAAAUCAUUCUCACGCGGAGAAUCAAUUUUGUCAUCUAAAGGAUCAACUAGUGAUUGCGUACCUACAACAAGAGUUUGGUCCUCAUGCGACCUAACAAUACCAAGAGUAUCAUAAAAGGGAGACUCAAGCACCUCUACCCUAGGCAAAGCUACAAUUAUACCCACUUGGCUCCAACUAGCCACAACACAAUAUUUGAAGUCCAUAGGAGUGUAGGGAAUAACUUUUUUCUCUUGAAGUAUGUCCGAACAGCCCACUUGCACCCUUUGACUGUAACGGCCCAAAAUCUAGUUCCCGGGAAGCCACAUGGUGCUCCAAACUAUAAGUAGUACUGAGCUAAUCCUGGCUGCCUUUUCUAAAUCUGAACCUCAAAAGAGGGGAAAACAUAAAUGAAAAGUCAUAAUAUAUGUGGAAAACUGUCUGAAUCAUACUAAUCUAAAAAUUCUAAUAAAGCAAAUGCUGAAAAUUUGUGUACUAAACUAGUAAUCUGAAUACUAAAUUUGGUAGACCGGCAAGCCUCUACUAUCUGAUUCUAGAGAGUUACUGGGACAUGCCCUAGCUGACUCAACUAUCUGAAAUGAAUGUUGGAACAUAUACUAAUGAACUGAGAGUGUGAACAUCUAAGUCCCCAAACUAUGAGGACUCACCAACUGUAGGAAUGUAGAAAAGAUGCUCGAAGAUCACUCAUGCUGUUGAGACUUAGCACCUGAACCUACAUUAUGAGAUAAUGUAGCACAUAGACAUAUAUGUGGAUCAGUACUUUAAGGAUGUACUGAAUGUAUGGGGGUGCAUGCAAUAAGUAACAAUAUCAUCACAGUUUAUAAAAUCAUGCAUACUAAAUGUAAAUAAGUAACUCAAGCUUGAGUAAAUAUGAAAUCUGAAGAUCAUAAAUCAUAAAUGAUAAAACAUAUAACGUAAAUCUGGUGAGCCAUUACACUUAGUUCUGAAAUCAAUAAAAUACUUUAUCUUAAAGCUUUAAAUCAAUAAACUAUUGAAGAGUGGGGGACAUAUUUUGGGAGGUUCUUCUAACUGACAUACACCAUGUGAGCAUCCAUGGAGUCCCACGACUAGCCCCGUUAGGUAAGGCUGUUCUAUCAGAGUCCCAUGGAGUCAUCGGAAUAGAACUUCUAUCUAAUAUGAUCACAAUCUGAGUCAUCCACGUAGAAGUAGGAAUAAUCUGAAUCCUACGUUGGCACCUAAUUUUGGGGUAUGAAAUCAUAGUAACCUACCCAUCUCGGUGAUAAAUAUUACUCCUAUUCUUAUGCUCAAAAUCUUAAGAAAUCCACUUCAAAACUAGCACAAGGGUUAACAAGAAAACCAAUUAUGCUUUUCUUUCUUUAAAUUUCAAGUUAUCUGAACAAUGUGGAUUCUUUAUCUUAGCUUAGGACCAAAAGGUCAAAUCUUUAUUAAUAAUCUGAGAAUAAUCUUAUUUGGGGGGUGCUUAUAGCACAAAUAAUCUUGAAAUAAAAAUCUUAAUUAGGGCAUAAUGACCCAUGCAGCAAUCUCAUGUAAUAAUAUCUAAAAAUUCAUUCUUGAUGAUGUAAACACUUAUAAUUCAUCAUAAAACCUGGAAAUUUCAACAAUAUGCAUGGAAAUAUAAUAUAAUCAGGUAAUUCAACUUCUAAAUCAUGGGAAAUCUCAUAAUCUUGCAAAUAAUGAUAAUGGAUAUAAACCCUAACUUUAAUUUCAUGGAAAAUCAUAUAAGUUGAAGUAAAAUUAUAAUUAAAAUAAAGUUUUGGGCAUAAGGAUGAAAGAAUUAUCCUUGUUCAAACCCCACAUACCUUGUUGGAUGAUCUAGAUGCUAGAACUUGAAUCCUGAAUCUUUAUUGAUGUUUUGGAGAUGACUUCUUAAAGUUUUUGAAUUGGGAAUUCUCAAUCUUGAAUUGUCUUGGAGGAUUAAUGGAGAAAUUUGGAUUUCUUGAGGAGGAAGUUUGAUGAACUAGGAUUUGCUUUUUAGAGAAAAGUGAUGAAAUAAGCAUAAAGUGCCUUAGUAUAUGAUUAAUGAGGUGUUUUGGAUGGAUUGGAGCCCUGGAGAUUGACCAAAAUACUCCCUUUAAACUUUUAUAUGAAACUGGAAAACGUACAUUUUCCCGAUCUUGGUGGCCACCGUGACGCGCCACUAUCGCGGUGGCUCACUGGAAAUCGACGAAUGAAAAAUAGGUAGACUCCAUGACAUGGAUACAUCGCGGUGCCUAUUUGGAAUGCCAUUUUGGCAUAUGGCGCAACGCGCCACUAUCUCGUGGGUUCUCUGGAUAUUGACAAACGGAAAAUUGACCCUCUCUGCGACACUCCUUUAUCGCGGAGGGCCACUAGAAUGAGAUUGGAAAUUUGGCUCUCUCCGCGACGCGCCAAUAUCACGGAAGGACACUGGAAAUUGACAAUAUUUAUUUAAACCUGCUACGCAAUACACUAUUGACCGAAAUGACGGUGUUUUAUAAUUGGGACUCAAAAUAGCCAUAACUUCUUAUCGGUUAUCGAAUUUAUGCGAAUCUUAUAUAAUUGGAAAGCUAAUUCAAUUUCCUACACAGUGGAAAGUCAAAAUAUAAGAAAUUCCACACGAAAUAAAUAGUAUUUGUUUUGUAAAGCUAUCCCUUAACAUUCUAGGGACAAAUUUAAGCUAGCUAAAUCAUGGGGUAUUACAUUGACCUACCUUCCAAUGAAACCUUUCAUUUUCCAUAGCUAGGUCUUGGGACAUAGUGUCAAGGUAGGCCAAAAUGGCAUUGGUGGCAUUGUUGUCCAUGGGUUGAGAGAUUGAAGACGUGGGUUCCCUUGCAAUUGUUCAUAGAAGAAAAAAAAAGAACAAGCCUACAAAGCAAAACACAAGUUAGUUCGAAACAACCUCACCACACUCUCACACACUUGAUCGUCUCAUAUUUGGAUUCACAAGUGUUGUAAGUCGGCUUGUAGUUCGUGAUGAGUCGAGAGGUGAGUCUACUCCUUGGUCGGAAUGGAUUCUUUGUUUGAAGACUCAAGGAAAGUAAUGUCCAAACUUGAACCAAGAAGUACUACGAUUUUAUAAAUGAUAAAAGAACAAAAGAAACAUAGACACGAAUAAUGGAUUCAAAGGACUAAUUGACAAUCUAGUAGGAGUUUACUAGUUUGUUAAUUAGUUUUAGGAUCAACUAAUGAAACCAAGUCAACAAUUAGAAAAUAGAAAAUCAAAAUUUGAGCUUAAUAUUGAUGGUGAAUAGUAAUUAGGGUGACAUGGUAGCAUGCAAUUGGUCUCGGUCCCACACAACUUUAGUCACAAAUUUGAAUUUUUAAUCUUCACACAAUUUGGAAUGGAAGACAAUUGGUUUUGGAGGGAAAGUAAAAAUCUUGUGGUCUUUUCAACUUUCCAAACUCAAAAAGGUGAGAUUUUACUUUACUAGUCUCACAAGACAAGGUCCCUUGAUUUAAGGAAAAGUGGUUGUCAAGUCUAGGAAAGGAUGUUUGCAAGUCUUCUCAAAAACAACUUUACAACUUUUGUCUUACAACUUUUUGGAUCUAUUUUAUACUUUAUGUGGGUUAAGAUAUGAGAAUAGGUGAAGAACAAUAUGAACAGAACAACAAUUUUUUUUAAGAACUACAACAACAUCACCAUACGGCCAACUCAAGUUCACAUCAACAAUGUAACCAUUUUUAAGUUCAACUUUAGAUCUAGACACCUUUGUGUUAGUGAGAAAGAAUCCAACACAAGAAACACGCUAGACAAAAAAAAUUCUACUAGAUCUAUUCACAAACUCUUGGCCAAAACAACAACAUCAAUGUCUACACCCCCAGCCAAAAAAACAAACACAAGAACGCUUCUUUUUUUUUUUAACAAGCAAGCCCAAGAUUUGAUCUUGUGAGAACAAAAUCAAGUCAUGAUUUGAUAUCAAAUGAUAUAAGAAUAACAAGAAUACACAAAACAAACACCCAAAAUAGUCCACAAGUUCAGGAGAAUCAAGGACCCUUUGAGUGACCCCUCCCGAAUUCAGGAACAAUGACAAGAGCACAAAGUAUUGUGGUGUUUAACACCUAAUUUGCAGUGAUCCACAAACUAUAUUAUCAACACAAUAUGAGAACAACAAUAUUACUUCAACAAGAAACUCAUGGGUUACACUAACAACAACAAGAAAUCCUAAACUUACAACAACAAUACAAGAUAGAUAGUUAGACCAAAUGAAGGAACAAUCUUAAGAACCCAAGAAUUGUGAGACUCUUGGACCCUUAACACUACCCACGACACAAACCUAACUCUAACAUUGACAUAAAAGGGAUGUUACCUUCUCUAAACACCAACGUAUCAGGUCAGCGAUGCAACACAAGUGAUAUCCAUACUUAGGCAGCCCUAGUUACAGAUUGGUGGCUUUUCCAAGCCCUACAACUAAGGGGUGUUACACUCCUCACACUAGAUAGAGAGGUUGUCUUACAUCAAUAAGCAACUAAGUCCUAAAAACCCUAUCUUGUUCUAUUUAAAUUAUAUUACAAAAAAAGACAAAUGACUACACUACCCUUAAUGAGAGGGGUGCCAUGAAGUGUUUUGGACAAAGUGAAAUCACCAAAAUUCCCUCAAUAAAGAUGGCCGAAAAACCGUGAACUAUUAAUUAUCCAAAACUAUGAAUCCUUAAGUUUUUAAUACUCCAAGCAAUCUUCCACUCACUGCCUUAAUGAAUGGUAUGCUGAAUGGUAGGCUCACAAUGGGUCUUCCUUGCAUAUUCUUAUGCCCUCGGGGUGACCAAGUCUUGAGCGUUUAAGUGAUGGUCUCCAAUCAUGUCUUCAAAAAUUAGGAUGGUCAUUUCACUUGUAUCAACAUAAGAAAAAUUAGACCCUGGGUCAAGCAACACAUACACAAUACGGGAAAAAAUUUGUAAUGUACCUGUGACAACAUCUAGCAAAGCCUCUACAUCCUGGCGGUUAGAUAAAGUAUAUAACCGGUUGCGACCGCUCCCGACAGCUGAAGUAGUACCCUUGAGGGGUGGUGAUAGAGCUGAGGAAUUUGUUUGGGACCUAGCACCACUGAAGUUUACUUUGGCGGAAGGGCAAUCUCUCUGAAAAUGGCUUGAAUGACCACAACUAUAACACACCAAGCUGUCCAACUGACACUUUCUCAGGUGAUGUUUACCGCAAGUCCCACAUCGCAAAAAUGACCGAUGUGGUAGAGCUACAUUGCUAUAAGACUGAGUACCCUGCGCCUUCUAACCAUUGUUAGACUGUGGUUUAAAGAAACGCUAAUCAAUUGAAGGUCUGGGCACAGGGGCACUGGCUAAUGAUUGAGUAUCGCUCCAAAACUUCUUCUUAGACUACCUGUUUCCCCAAUUACCACCCUAGUAUUGAUUGUUAUUCUGGUCAAUAGAUCUGGCCCUCUGGGUCUGCCUGUCUUUCUCCCUUGCCUUUGCCAAACUCUUCUUCUGCUCCUUAAUCUAUUGCAUAUAAAUGGACAACCUGGAGAAAUCCAUGUCUCUAUUCAGCAAUGCUCCUUUGCAUUUCAAUACCACAUCUUACGAGAGACCGGAUGCAAACCUCCUCAUGCGGGCUCUCAUGUUCCCUGCCAAUUCUGAAGCAUAACAGGAUAACUGGUUGAACUUCAAUGUGUAUUCUCAACACUUAUUUUCCCUUGUUUCAAGUACAUGAAUUCUUCAGCCUUUGAUUUCUUCUAUUCCUGAGGAAAGAAACAAUCCAAAAAAGGCUUUACAAACUCACCCCACACCGAAGGCUCAACCUCUCUACUCUUCGAAUCCUCCCAUUAAUUAUACCACUGAUUGGCCACAUCUUUCAACUGAUAAGCUGCCAAUUCAAUCCCCUCAACUUUAUUUGCAUGCAUAACUCAAAACAUUUUCUCUAGUUCAUCAAUGAACCCUUAGGGAACCUCCUCAACCUUCAUACCCAUAAACUUGGUUGGGUUCAGUCUCAUGAAUUGAACAACCCUUAUAAUCUCAGGUAAACUAGACACAGAUCCCAAAUCUUCAAAUAGACGGGCCUCAGAAGACACUAACUGAACUAUCAUAUGCAUAGACUGUUGGAACUCAGGGUUGGAUACCUUUCUCUGGGACUAGUCUGAACAAAAAAAACUCCUGGAGUAGCAAAAAACUCAGGAGUAUGAGCUCUAUUACUAGUCCACAUCCCAUGGGUAGCGCGGACAUCCUCAGCCUGAGCAUUCUAUUUGUUAGAUUGAUGGAGAGACAUGAUAGCUUUCUGAAAUAUAGGAAAUCAUUGAUUAAAGGACAUACAGACUCUAUAGCACGAACUAAAUCAUGAAAAAAUAGGGAUAUUCCUAAAUGCCUUAUAGCCUUCCGUUUAUAAGUGUGGCGCGCUACACACCCAUAAACAGUACUCUACCUGAUAUGACUUUGCAGAUACCCUGGAACCAUGAACCGUGCUCUAAUACCAAUUUUUUCAUGACCCAAGCUGAGAGGCUAGCCGUGAAAAGCAUCUCAAACCAUGAAGGCCCGAGCGCCCCUGUUCUAUCUGGUAAUCAUACACAAUGUUCAUACAAUGUAAAGAAAUGCAAAAAGUUAGCAAAAUGGAAACAUGGUAAAUUUCUAAAAUCAACUGGGCAAUACGAAAUGAGGUUCAUAAUUUUCAAAAUACAUGACACCAAUCUGCGAAUACGAACUUUAUAUUUCCCGAAAUUUUGGGGGGAGUAGUCUUAAUAAUAGGCAAAGUAAUCUCUAACAGCAUAAAAAUAACUUCUAUCUGAAAACUAGGACAAGGUCCUCUGUCGGACCAUAAACCAAAAUAAAAUAACAAAGUCUAAUAACCAGGCCUCUCAAAAUAGAGAAGGCUCACCAACUGCUAGUCUCGAACACACUAAUCUAUUAUUUAGAGGGACCCCGGGACUGUGCCUCAGAUCCUGAAAUAUAAGGGUCAAUACAGAUAUACUGUUACACAAAACAAUCCAUAAACAAAAUACUAAUAUGUAAAGUAAGUGAGAGAAUUUUAUGAAAAGUAUGUCAUCAUCAAACAUUUGAAAAUCCAUGGGCAUAAUGAAUAGGCUUUUAAAACAUUUUUGUAAAUCUCAACUCAACAUCUUUGUCUUUGUUCUGAGCUAGGUAGUACACCCUACAAGUCUGAUAUUCCACGGGCUAUAUGGAAUCUAUCCUUGACUCGGCAGCUAAGCCUCCAAUCCAUGUUUGCCAUAAGGGUUGGAGUUUCUUAUUCUUAUACGCCAUAGGGCACUAGGCCAGCAUAUAAUCCCUCUUAGAGACAUAAUAACCCGUAUCGGCAAAACACGAUUUUGGGUAAUGAGUUUUCUGAACUCGUGCCUUCUUCAGUUAACCACCUAACAUCACUUAAGCCCAUUUUUAACCUUUUCUAAACAUGCGUCUUUCAAAACUCAAAUUCUAAAAAUCUAAUUGAAAUCUGACAUCUAUUCUGUUCUAAGUCUAUUAUGGCAUUAUCUGAUUUUGGUAUCAUUAUACCAAGACUUGCAAGUCAUAAGUCUAAGCCAUAUCAUAUUUGUAUCACAGUUCUUUCACUCAAAAUAAUGUUCAGACCACAAAAACAUUCAAACAAUACAAGAGAACUCAUAUUUCAAAACAUAUGUCAAACUAUACAAAGACUCUCUUUUUAACAUUUCAACCAAUGGUGGUCAAUUUCUCAAAACGAUCAUGCAAUUCCCUCAAUUAUUAUAUUUUGCAUUUUAAAAAAAGAAAAUAUCCCUCUCUUCAAUUCACAACCAACAUAAAUUUCGUAAUUGAUAGUAAAACCCUUGGCUCAUGCUUUAAGUCAUGCAAUUGAAUAACCCUUAACUUGGAAAUCAAAAGGUACACAAUGAGAGAGGUAAAUUUAUUCUUCAUUCUUUAAAUUCAUACUUCAGAACUAAAACACAUUUAUACAUAUACAGGAGACAAGUUCGGAUUUAACUUAAGGCCUCAAGACCAAAAUCAUAUAUCAUUGGAAGGAUUUACAAUGCUUACUUUUUAAUGUUAUUCAAUAUCUUCAUGAAAACAUGAUUUAUCAACCUUCAAAAUAUUAAUAUAAUGAUUUACCCAUGCCCAUGUAGUUUAGGAAAGCCCUACAUACCUUAAUCGAUGAUGAAUUCGCAAAAAAGUUGAUCCUUUGAGCUUGAAUGUUUAAACCUAAGUUGUUUUCUCUUAUUGUAUUUUUGCAAGAUGAACUAGUGAUUUAAGAGAUUUAAAAUGUUACUAAUGACCCUAAUUUCAUCUAUAGAUGUUUAGGGAUGGUUUUUGAUUGUAAAAAGACUUGGUUGCCCUUGAAAUAACUCAAAAAUUAAGUGUCUACAUCGUUGGGCCAUAGGGUUUGUGUCGCACAACCUUUGGCGAACCUUAAGGUUUGUGUCCCACAACCCAUGGAAAACCUUAAGGUUUGCGUCACACAACUUAUGUCAAACCCUUUCCAGUGAACGUUUGCAAUGGUUACGCGACGCACACCCAUUUGCAAAGCCAUAACUUUUUGCUUGGACAUAGUAUUAAGGUGAAAUUGGUAUCGUUGGAAAGAUAAUUUGAUUAUCUACAAUUUGGUGUCUAUUAAUCUACCAAUUUCUACAUAUACAUAAAUUUGUACUCAUUGAAAGAUGACCUUUGUGAAAUCGACCACCAAAAAAUAAUCGAAUCAAAGGCUCUUAGCUCACUUUGCUCUAAGUGAUUUUAUGAACAUAUUUUGCCUUGGAUGCUCUUCAUACACUAGGAUAAUGAUCAUGAAACUUAUAUUCACAUAGGAAAUUAUUUGUAUUGGAGCUUAUAUGUAUGGGAAUGACUGUUAGAGUUCUAGCGCAAAAAUAUGGGGUAUUAUAUAUAUCAUCACAGGGUAUCGUCAUACCAAGAUUGAAAGUCAUUCAUAUCAUAUCAAAUCCACUACCCUUCUCAUUCAAAACAUGUAAAUGACCACCAAAAUAUUUAUCAAAUCAAAAGAGAGUUCUUAUUAUCAAAAGCAUAUAAAACUUGUGCAAACACUCUCUUUACAAGACUUUAAUACGUGGUGGUCAAUUCUUUCUUUAAUCACAUGCAGUUUCUUCGUAAGGAAACCAUAACAUUUAGAAUAGAAAUCUCCUCUUUGAAAAAUCAAAACAACCAUUCACAAUAAGUAAAGAGGCAUUUAAACUCAAGAAUCAUCUUCAUUCAUAAAACAACCCCAACAUUUGUUAUACGUAAAUCUUAUGAUAAAAAAAAGGCUUAUAAUUCAUGCCCUCCAACCUAAUUCACAAUUCAUAACAUUCUAAGACCAUAAGGGGAAGCGAAUUUCACAAGUCAUGUUCAUAAAUCACUUUGCAAACUCAAAUCAUGUAUGCACAAGAUUAUAAAUCAAGCUUAUGAAAAAACACCAUGAUAAUUACACGCUUUCAUCAAAACGGGUUUACGAUCCAUGCUCUUUAAAUAAUUUCCAUAACCCAUUACAUAUACAUACAUAUAUAUCUUUAAAACAUUUUUAAAAAUGUAAACUUAUGCCCGUAAUAUUUAAGAUAGUUCCACAUACCUUUUUGAUGAACAAAAUUCGAGAUAUCCUGAAUCUAAGCCUUGGGAGCAUAAGUUCUUGAAAGAAAACCUUUCUUUCCUGAGAGUGGAAAGAAUAAUGAACGAUGAGAAAUUGACAUAUAAUGGGAAAUUAGCAUUAAAGAGUUGUUUUAAGUCUUGGAGGUAAGAUUUUGGGGUGAGAAAAAGACCAAAAUACCCCUAAAAAAACAAUAAAAUGCAGGUAACUGACGACUAGGUUGAUAAGCCGUCAACUUGGUGACAUCCCAUUACCCUAGUCAUCAAUUCUAAAUGGAUUUUUCUCUUCUCUAGUUAAGGUUGACGACUAUGGUUGACAGCUCAUCAACUUAGUCACCACUUUCUGACAAUCAGAUACUCUGAAGUAAAAUGAGCAUAACUUUCUACUUUGAUAUUGUAUUAAGGUAAAACUAGUUGUGUUGGAAAGACGACUCGAAGAUAUUUCAUUUGAUAUAUAGUAGGCCAUGUGACAUAAUAUGUACUAGGAGUAAUGAUUGUUCGAAGUUGACCCAAGUUGAAACAUUCACUAAAACUUAAUUGAUAGAAAAGCUCUCAACUCGUCUUUGAGUUAGGAGAUUUUUUUUGUGAACUUAGUUCAUAUUCAAAGGUAUUCCCACACUAUAAAAUUGAUCAACUCAAAAAUAUUAAUAUGAAAUCAUUGGUUUUGGAUCUAUACACGUAGGAACGACGGUUUGAAUUCUAGCCCAAAAAUAUGGGAUGUUACAUUAUCUCCCUCUUUGAAUCAUUCAUCCUUGAAUAAUGGGUAGAAACUUGUUGAAGCUCUAGAAGUAUGGAAUAAAGGACGUAACCUCACACUAGGAUUUUUUUUUUGUUUCCUCAACGAAACAUACAAAGGCAUUCAAGAAGAGAUUCAUGAUCUCACCAUGUAAAUUGUGUAAGCACAAUCAUGAGAUAACAAGACUCAAAAUAGAGAUGAUCUUGGCAUGUGUUCUAUGGCACCUGAUCAUAACAUUGUAAGACAUGAAUUUUCCUAAGAAUCCUCAUCCUGAUUAAGAUUGGUAAAAGAUAUAAGCUGAGUAGCAUAAAGCCGAAAUUCAAAUAUUUAAGAGUUAAAAACGGCCAUAAGUUUGAUAAAUGAUGUGUGAGCUAAUGGUAAAACAUUUGAGGCUUUUAACUAAGAAUAAUUGCCAAGUCUUAAGCAAAUUUUAUCAUUUUUGAUUGUUUUAUGUUUGAUUUUGCAGUAGAAGCUAAUAUGAUAGAGAACCAACAAGAAUGGAAACAAAGAAGUUGAAAUCUGAAGAAAUUCGAAGAGAAGUAUGGCUGACGAUAUUUCUGAUAGGUCAUCAGCCAUGUGAUAAGCUAUCAGCUUCAUCGUCAGCCUCAGAUAAUGGACCUGAGUUAGACUCUGUGAAGACAUUUUUUGAUAGGACGUGAAGGAGCUGAUAAGUCAUCAAAGUUGUCAUCAGCCUAAGGCAGCACAAGAGAGUUGAAGAAGAGACUUGAUGACAUUUGUGAUAAGUUGUCAAGGAGCAAAUAGGACAUCACCGUUUGUCGUCAGCGUUAGGAAGCAAGUACCAAAAGCAUAAAGGAAGCUGACGACAUUUGUCAUAAGUCGUCAGCCUCCUAAUGGGCUAUCACAAAUGUCGUCACCUAAUCCAAGAGAUUUCUGACUUUUAUUAUUUUGUUUCCUUAUUUAGGGUGAACUAUUUAAAGCCUUGUUUAGGGUUUUUCUUAAAGAGUUCAGCACAUUGAGUUCCGCACUUGAGUCUUGACAAUACUUUGAUAUUUUCUCUCUGUACUUUUGGCUUGAAAAAGCAAAUUCUUGGAAGAGAUUAUAAUCAUUAUUUUGGGAUUUUUCUUUGUGAUCUAAUCUGAGAAUCUCUAGUUUCUAUUCAUCUUGUGGUAACUUUAUCUUUCAAAGCAUGAAUUUAUCUAGUUGCUUCAAUUAUUACGUCAUGAGCAUCUAAAUUCCUUUAACCUGAAUUAUAAGAUCUAGGGUUAGAUCUUGAUAAGGUGCGGAGUGUUCAAGAUUCGAAAGGUGGUAGGAUUUCUUGAUAAUUCUGAGGUUUUAAAUAAAGUCUAUUGAUUGAAAACAAUAGAUAAAACCUACUUUAAUUUUCUUAAGAAAGAAAUCAAAUAUAGUAGGAAGUGAAUUAUCAACAGGGACUUGGAAAUACUCCGUUUAAUAAUCAGCGUUGUAACAAGGUUGGAUAACCUGAGGUAAAAUCUGUGCUGUGAAUAUAAAUUCCCUACGCCCGAGAGGAUUAGGUAAUUAAAUGCUUAAGUAGGUCCAGAGAUAUUUAAGCAUAACUUUGAUAAAGAUAACUUAUUGUCCUACCUACUGUGAGAAUCCUGAACCACUAGUAGCAUCUGUCAAGUACCAAAAUCCCUAGUGAACAUAAUUCUAUUUUUUCAUACACUCUUGAUUACUAACACGACACUAAAGUAGCCAACAAUUACUUGCAAAACUUAAAACCCCUAUUUUAUAUUUUCGUGCCAGUUGCUUGAAUUUAACUUGUAGCUUUAGUUUCAAACUAGUUUAAUCGCCACUCAUAUUGUUCCCUAUGGAUUCAACCCUGACUCCAAAGUUGGGUAAAUAUAUUGACGACGAUCACCUUACACUAAAUUAAAGUGUAAGUUGAGCAUUAUCAAAAAUGGCGCCAUUGCCGGGGAACAAUUUGGCGUAUUGAGUUGGUUUGGAAUUUUGCCCUACUUCCUUGAAUUCAAACUUGUAAAUAUUUGUUUUUAGUUUUCUUUUUUUUCUUAUGUUAGGUAGAUUUUUUUUUUAGUUUACUUAUAACUAUGGCAUCGUGGAAUGAACAUGAGCUUGGUGGUUGGAAAUUUUAUCUUGAUGAUCCAUGUCCAUAUUAUGAUGGACUUCACUUUUGGAAAGAUUGUAUAUAUUCUUCUCGGAGAGAGAUAUGUGCACCAUCUCCAUCCUACCAGGAGUAUGAUUGUUCUUUAUAUGGUGGUCAAGAUGGGUAUUGGAGUGAUUUCCCAAAUUCCCUUUCUCCCUUUUGCGCUAACCCAAAUUCUAGUUCUUCUUUUGAGUUUGACAGGUCUUAUGGUCAAGAAAAAGAAGAACAAAGCACCGAAAGGAGUGGCAUUGAAGCUAUGUUUCAAUGAAUGUUGGAUCUCCAGGAAGAAAUAUAGGGUAUUUUAUGUGAUAUACGUUAAGGCAUGAGGCCAAUCAUUCAUGAGGAGAUGGAUAUAGAGGUCAAUCAUUCAAAGCACUCUUCCACAUUAUACUUAGAUGAUAUCUUGUCUGUGGAAUCAUUUUACAUAAAGGAAGAGUGUGAAGAUGAGGAUGAAGAACCCAAUAUUGAUGUUGAGCUUGAUGUUGAGCAACCCUUGGUGAUUUCCCAACCAACUGAACCAUUCAUGAAUAAAGAUACCAAAGAUGAGGAAAUAGUACUAGAGUCAAAAGAAGAUAUCAAGCACAAUUCUUGUGAAGACUCUAGUCCAUUUCAAGGUAAAUAUACUAUUAUGGAUGCUACUCCAAAAUUGAGAGUUAAUCCUCAUUCGAACCACUUUUCAACAUUAUGCUUGGUGGAUGUGAUGAAAGUCGAAUCACCCAAGCAAAUGAUGAAUUUUGAAAAUGACGAAGAAAAUUCUAACAUUUUGGAGUUUAUCUUUCCAAAAGGGUAUACUACAACCCCAAUCUUAAAGGCCAAGAAUCUUAAAGAUCAAUGUCUAUUUAGUGGCUUUAUAAAAUCCUUACUAUUGCCCAAUGAGCCCACAAAAAAGUUCGAUGCAAAAUUGGGCAAGUGUUUUAAGUCUUCAAAAUGGCAUGAUAGAACAUUCAUUAUCAUUCCCUCACAUCUGCCCAACGAACCUAAAAGAUGUAAAGAUCGAACUAUGGGUCGACAAUUCAAAUCAUCUAAGUGAAGAGAUAAAGGAUAGCUAAAUGUUAUCGUGCUGCGACACUAAAUUAGGAGCUUUUUGGGAGGCAACCCAAGGUAUUUUGUUGUUUGUUUGUAUUCGUAUUAUGUGAUUGACAUUAGAUCUUCGCACCCAUGGUGCCACAGGUAUGUUUCUAGCUCUCUCAUUUUUGUUUAACGCAUUGGGGAUAUUGCAUGAUUUUAAGUUGAAGGUGAAGCUACUUGUGGGUGUUGAUGUCCUCUUGGGGUUUUUGUUGUCGUACCUCUUUUCCCCGGAGUCUUGUUCCUAGUAGAGCCAGCAUGUUUAGGCAUAUUGUGUUUGUUUUGUAAAGUUUUGUGGUCAACUAGAAGAAAUACAUGUACUUGAGGCAGUUGAAUUAGUUUGUGAUUUUUGUAUACCUCUUCAAGUGGUCUACUUCUUUAACUAUGUGAUUUGCAUUCAAGUGUGACCACUGUGCAUCUUUGUAUGGCAUUAGUUCUAGUUAAAUAAUAAUCAUUGCUAAAUAGCUGCAUGAACUGAAUGAGUAGUAGAUUGCGAUAUACCUUUGUUCCAAGUGUGUGUGAGCUAUUACUUAGUUCCCUCUGUAUGCUGAAGCCAGAACUUGCCCGGUUAGUCUUACCUAGGUUGAAGGAUUGGGGUUAGGAAAGGAUCAUAGGCCGUUUUGAUAUUACCUCACUUUAGCUUAAAUGACCUUCCCUAUGUGUAUAAUAUCCCUUGAUCCCUGUUUUGAGCCUAAUUAGCCUAUUUCUUUGUAUGGCACCUAUCACUUUCCCAUUUAGAUCACAAUGAACCUAUUUUAGCCCUAGUCUUCCUUGGACACUGUGCACCUUAACUUAGAAAAAUGGCCUAAGUUGAGCGUGGCUAUUAUAGGGGUGCGUGAUAUAGAAUGAGUAUGAAGAAAGGUAGCAUAAAAGAAAAGAAUAAAAAUUUGGGUGCAGAAGAAAGAGCAAGAAAAAGAAAAAUUGUGAAAAAGAGUAAGUAAUUGAGAAAAGACUGUACCCAACCUAAAUAAGUGUGAUCAAGGAAAGAGAAGAGCGGAAAAGGCUAAUGAGUGUAACCCCAAAAAGCUAGUGUAAUUUCAAGGAGGCUUAGUCACUUUAAAUACCAUCGAGUAUCCUACCAGCCCCUAGCUUGCAUUGCAAGCCUAAGAGAAGUCCUAUAGUGAUCCUAACGAACCAAUCUAAAGAUCGGGGUAAUGAAAAUAAGGGAAAGCCUAUGGUACUUGGGAUACACUGAUUGGAAAUUCAUUCUGAGAGUGAGUGUUUUGAUUGUCCCCAUGGUUACAUAGAUAAUUCCUGAUAUGAGAUGAGGGGGAUGUCUUUGCUAUGAGGCCACACUAGUUACAUUGCUAGUUACUGACUUGUUCGGGUAGUGUAAUAAUGGUCUAUUCAUAGUUGUUAUAACUGAAUUGAUGUCGUAUCUUGAUUCCUGUGUGUUGCAUUGGUGUUUUUCAUUGUUAUUGAAUUGAGUGACCUUGGAGAUGGUAAAAGUGUUUUAAGAUGAUAUGGGUGAUUGACUGCCAAACGUAUUUUGUAUUCUCUAAGUUAUGUUGAGUUGCUUGAGGACAAGCAAUUGUUUUACAUUGAGGGUGUUGAUGUGUGGGCUAAUGCUAACACAUUUGAGGCUUUUAACUAAGAAUAAUUAUGAAGUCUUAAGAAACUUUUGUCGUUUUUGAUUGUUUUAUGUUUAAUUUUGCAGUAGCAGCUAAUAUGAUAGAGAACCAACAAGAAUGGAAGCAAAGAAUCUGAAAUAUGAAGAAAUUCUAAGAGAAAAAUGGCUGACGACAUUUCUGAUAGGUCGUCAUCCCUGUGAUAAGCUAUCAGUUUCAUCGUCAGCCUCAGAUAGGGAAUGGACCUGAGUUAGACUCUGUGACGAUAUUUUGUGAUAGGACGUGAAGGAGCUGAUAAGUCGUCAAAGUUGUCGUCAGCCUAAGACAGCAAAGGAGAGUUGAAGAAGAGACUUGACGAAAUUUGUGAUAGGUCAUGAAGGAGAUGAUAGGAUGUCACUGUUUCUCGUCAGCGUUAGGCAGCAAGUACCAAAAGCAUAAAGGAAGCUGACGACAUUUGUCAUAAGUCAUCAGCCUCCUAAUAGGCUAUCACAAAUGUCGUCACCUAAUCCAAGAGAUUUCUGACUUUUAUUAUUUUGUUUCCUUAUUUAGGGUGAACUAUUUAAAGCCUUGUUUAGGGUUUUUCUUAAAUAGUUCGGCACAUUGAGUUCGCACUUGAGUCUUGACAAUACUUUGAUAUUUUCUCUCUCUACUUUUGGCUUGAAAAAGCAAAUUCUUAGAAGAGAUUAUAAUCAUUAUUUUGGGAUUUUCCUUUGCGAUCUAAUCUGAGAAUCUCUAGUUUCUAUUCAUCUUGUGGUAAGUUUAUCUUUCAAAGCAUGAAUUCAUUUAGUUGCUUCUAUUAUUAUGUCAUGAGCUGCUAAAUUCCUUUAACCUGAAUUAUGGGAUCUAGGGUUAGGUCUUGAUAAGGUGCUGAGUGUUCAAGAUUCGAAUGGUGGUAGAAUUUCUUGAUAAUUUUGAGGUUUUAAUUAAAGUCUGUUGGUUGCAAACAAUAGAUAAAACCUACUUUGAUUUGCUUGAGAAAGAAAUCAAAUAUAGUAGGAAGUAAAUUAUCAAUAGGGACUAGAAAAUACUCCGUUUAAUAAUCAGCGUUGUAACAAGGUUGGUUAACCUGAGGUAAAAUCUGGGCUGUGAAUUUAAAUUCCCUAAGUCCAAGAGGAAUAAGUAAUUAAAUGCUUAAGUAGGUCGAGAGACAUUUAAGCAUAACUUCGAUAAAGAUAACUUGUUGUCCUACCUACUGUGAGAAUCCUGAACCACUAGUAGCAUCUGUCAAGUACCAAAAUCCCUAGUGAACAUAAUUCUGAUUUUUCAUAAACUCUUGAUUAUGAACACUAAAACUAAAGUAGCCAACAAUUACUUGCUAAACUUAAAAUCCCCAUUUUAUCUUUUUGUUCCAGUUGCUUGAAUUUAACUUGUAGCUUUUGUUUCAAACUAGUUUAAUCACCACUCACAUUGUUCCCUGUGGAUUCGACCCCGACUCCAAAGUUGGGUAAAUAUAUUGACGACGACCGGCUGCACUAAAUUGAAGUGUAAGUUGAACGUUAUCAAUAAACCUUAUCAUUGUGGGAAAUACCCGACAUAAAAUGAAUUGGUAUAUACAGAAAGCAUGGUUUCUUAGAAUUAAGAAUGAUAUGAGACAUAGAUGUAUAGAUCACGAUCAAUCAUAACAUAGACCUUGAGUACCUGAGAGGUUGGAUUGUUGAGAAACAUUAUUGUUUCUAGUUUGGAGGUUCGAACAUGGACAUAAGUUGAGUAGAGAACUCAAACCUUAGGCAUAGGCAUAACUUAUAUACAUAAGGCACUGAUAGAUGUCCUUUUAAAUUGAAGUAGGAGGAGUUUGCUUGAAUAGGAGUAGAUUUAUCAUGACUCUUCCCUGAAACUUGCCACCAUGAGAAAAUUUGGGAACUACCUUAAUUCAAAAUAUCCCCCUUAGAUGAAAGUCACCAUCCUAGACUUGAGGACAUAUCCUCUAGUAAAUUCUACAAGCACAACACUCAACACAAUGGGGUUAUUACUAUACAAGUGAACGUUAAACUACCCUGAUAGCUAUAAUAUGAAGACACUACCUUUCAGGGAUACAAAUCUUAACUUUUGCAAGGUUCCAUAGGCAUCACCCUAUAACUCACUAUCUCAUAAGCACACACAUUCAACCUUCUUAACACAUAAUAAUCAAUUUUCACUACUUAGCAUACUAGCAUUACUACUCUAAUUGCAUAUCCUCACAACUUAAAAAGUUUUCAAAACUAGACCAAGAGCUCACACCAUCUAUCUAUAUUUCCCUUAAUUUAGUUCUAAAUAACACCAUAUAGCAGCUCUCUAGCCUUCUCUAUAUUAAGAAAUUCAAGAACAUGAACUAGGUACUCAUGACACUUAUACACUUAGGACCUUAUAUGACAACAAGUUACCCGGGUUCAACUUAUUCUUAUAAACCCAACGCUCUUAUCCACCUACUGGCUCAGCCGCAAUUCAUCAUUUUAACACUAUCCUCAUGUACAUAUAUAUAUAUAUAUAUAUAUAUAUAUAUAUCACAAUUAUCCUAAGUUUCCAACCCAGGUUGUGGCACACAUCAAAUCAGGCUUACUAACUUACUCCUACAAUUCUCGUAUCGCUAUCCUCGAGUUACCAUUCUUAUCACCGUAAUGCACAUCUAAAGUUCAAAUCUUGCGUCUAACACCAAUCAUAUACAACCGAUGAAAUAUCACACAUAAUAUACUAGUCCCCCGAACAGAGAAAUCAACAUAAAUUCCUAACUUCGUUUAACUACGACAUACAAGCACAUUUUCCUCUACAACGUUAUUACUACUCCUUAAUAUUUAUUACACACCUUCUCACAUAUUGUAUUAGUUUACAACUACUUGAGACAACAGAAUCAAGGGGGGGUAAAGUCACAUAAUAAGAAUAGUCGGCCUUACUCUUAUAAUAUAACCCAUUACGAUUUAUUAGCAUAUUCUAAUUUCUCACGUCAUUUCCACUUACCCAUGCAUAAAUCCCAACUACCUUCAAAAUUCUAUAACCAUCAAUGAGUUCCACCAUCUUAGAUUUCCCUAUUGAAUUCAAAAUUAUAAAUUACAAGUCAAUCUACUCCUUUUCUGUCACAACCUGAGAUUAUUUUUUUCUACUACACUAAGUAUGCAACACGAGUUCUUUCCCUCUUUCAACUAAGUUCUAAUAAUCAUAACUAAUCACUUCCUCUUCUAAAUACCAUAAAUUUAUAAAUUGUGCUACAAGUUUAGACAAUCAACAUAAAAGGUCAUACCACCCUCUACUCGAAGGUUACACAACCACAAAACCUUCUUCACUCAAGAGUUACCCUCUCUUUAACUUCUAAACUUAUGACUUCAUAUCACUAACUUCAGGACCAUCUUACUACUCAUAGAUUUUAAUACCUUAACAUAUACCACCACUCAGAUGGAAAUACUGUUCCAACAUUCUACUACAUAUCUCUGCCCUUAAGCAUGACAUCUGCAACAAGGAUUCUGAAAAAGAAUGAAUACACUUCUUACCUAAAGAUCAAAUGGAUGAUUGAUAUAUAUAGGGGUAUACACUAAAAUCAAAACACUUUGAAGAACUAAUAGACUCCUCUUAUGCCCUUGUGCUAUUUCAUAACCUUAUGGAUAGCUCAAUCGGUAAGGGCAACAUCUUUCAGAAUAUAGACCAUUGAACUUGUACCGCCUCGAUAAUAAAACAUGGCCAAUAGAAUUAAAGAAAGGAAAGAAUUUUGAUAACUUCCAUAUGGACAACACUGCCGCAUGAUCUAUAGCAUGAAAGAAUGAGAAACAACACCUAAAUGCCCAGUAGCCUCCUGAUUAUAAUUGUGGUGCACAACAUACCCACAAGUAAGACUCUACUAGAUACGUCUUUGUAGACACCUUGGGACUAUAAACCGUGCUAUGAUACCAAGCUUGUCAUGACCCAAAUCAAGGCCCUAGCCGUGAUGGACAUCCAAACCGUAAAGGCCCGAGAGACCCCUUAGCAUGUAAUCAUAAGCAUAACUCAUGUGAAAUAAAAUGCACAAGAUAACUAAAAACAUGGUAGUCCCAAAAUCAAACUUACAACUCCAUAACAUUGUAUCAAAAGAAAAAACCCAAAUCUAAUAUAAAACACUCUACGAAGCCUCUACUAGACUAAAAAUAAUAAUCUAUCUAAACCGGGACAAGGCUCCCAAUCGGACCAUAAACAACUGAAAACCAUUACAUGGAUAGGGGGCUUUCCGAAGUAAGGAAAGCUCACCAACUCUAAACUACUAUAAUAAUUUACUGCUACUGAACUGGACUAUAAGAUUGAGCCUCAAAUCCUAUAUUAUAAGACAAUGUAGCCUCCACAAAGGAUGGUAAAUACCUUGAAUGUAUUGGUAUGCAGAACUAACCAAAAAAACAACAUGUAUUCCAUAUAAAAUAGUCGAGAGCAUUAAGAAAACAAUUUAACAUAAGAUAUCAAAACACAUGGGCAUAAUCAAUGAUCUUCAAAACAUUCUUGUAAGUCAUGACUCAACUCUUUGUUUUACUUCUGAGCUAUAUGGUACACCCUAUAUUUCUAGUACCCCCGGGCUAUAUGGGUAUGCUAUUAACUUGUCAGCCAAGCCCCCUAAUCCAAGUUUGGCGCAAGAAUUGGGUCCUAAAUACUAUUCUAGUAUACCAGUGCCUCAGGGGCAAGUAUACAUUAGCCAUAGCCAAUCAUGUCUCCCGAAUUGGCAAAACUCGGUUCCCAGCAAUGAGACCUUACACUCAAAUGCCAUCUUCGAUUAACCAUAUAACUCUCUUUAAGCCCAAUUUUAAUCUUUUAAAAUUAUGCUUCAUGCUCAAAAACAUUCAGUGCUUAUUCUGUUAAGGACAUAUCAUCACUCGGUAUCAUCAUACCCACACUUGCAAGUCAUUCAUAUUAUAUCAAAUCCACAGCCCUUCUCAUUCAAAAUAUUUAAAUGACUACAAAAACAUUUAUCAAAUCAAACAAGAGGUCCUAUUAUCAAAAGCAUAUGAAACUUAUGAAAACAUACUCUCUUUACAAGACUUUAAUAUGUGGUGGUCAAUUCUUUCAUUAAUCACAUACAGUUUCUCAUUAGAAAACUGUAGCAUUUAGAAUAGAAAUCGCCUCUUUGAAAAACACUUGAAACAACCAUCCAUAACAAAUAAAGAGGAGUUUAAACUCAAGAAUCAUCUUCAUUCAUAAAACAAUCCCAACAUUUGUUAUACGUAAAUCUCAUGAUCAAAAAGAGGCUCAUAAUUCAUGCUCUCCAACCUAAUUCACAACUCAUAACAUGCUAAGACCAUAAAUUUUUCCAUGGGGAAGGGAAUUUCACAAGUCAUGUUCAUAAAUCACUUUCUAAACUCAAAUCAUGCAUGAACAAGAUUAAAAAUCAAGCUUAUGGAAAAACCCCAUGAUAAUUACGCACUUUCAUCAAAAUGAGUUUAUGAUGCAUGCUCUUUAAAUGAUUUCCAAAACCCAAUAUAUAUAUACAGAUAUAUCUUUAAAACUUGUUUUAAAAUGUAAACUUAUGCGCAUUAUAUUUAGGAUAGUUCCACAUGCCUUUUUGAUGAAUAAAAUUUGAGAUAUCUUGAAUCUAGGGUUUUUACCCUAACUUUUGUUUCUUAAGAGUGGAGAGGAGAAUAAACGAAUACCUCUACAGAAACCAACAAAAAUGCAGGAAUUUGAUAAACUGACGACUAGGUUGACAAGCCAUCAACUUGGUGACGUUCCGUCACCUUAGUCAUCAAUUCUAGAUCGAUUUUGUUCUUUUCUGGUUAAGGUUGACAACUAGGGUUGAUGGCUCAUCAACUUAGUCAUCACCUAGUUGACUACUCUUCAACUUAGUCGUCACUUUCUGACAAUCAGACACUCUGAAGUAAAAUGAGCAUAACUUUCUACUUCAAUAUCGUAUUAAGGUAAAACUAGUUGAAUUGGAAAGAAGACUCAAAGAUUAUUCAUUUUAUAUAUAGUAGGCCACAUAAGUCAUUACGUACUAGGAGUAAUGAUUGUUGGAAGAUUACCCAAGUUGAAACAUUCACUAAAACUUAAUCGAUAGAAAAGUUCUAAACUCGUAUUUGAGUUAGGAGAAUUUCUUGUGACCUCAAUUCAUAUUCAAAGGUAUUCUCACACUAUUGAAUUGAUCAUUACAAAUAUAUUAACGUUAAAUCAUUAGGUUCGGAUCUAUACUCGUAGGAACGACGGUUUGAAAUUUAGCUCGAAAAUGUGGGGUGUUACAAAGACCAACACAUUUUAUGGACAAAAUUUAAAGAUCAGCUCAUUUAAGGGACAAUUCAUGCAAAUUUAUGAAAAAUAAGAUUUGUUCAACCCUCCCCCCCACCCCGGGUGAUCAAAUUUAAAUUGGUUAUUUCCUUGUUCAUUUAUUAAAUCAAUCCAUUUCUGUCUAAGCCAUUCUAGCUCAUCAAAAGUUGAAUUGAUAUACUGUUACGAUCCAAAAAUCAGGCCAUAAUGACACUUAUUAUGGCUCAGCUUUAAUAAGUAAUCCAAUCAUACUAACUGAUAAAGAAAUAUCAAAGUAUACAAUAAAUACAAGCCAAGGUGAGACUAUAGAACGAAGUCAGACCCUAAAACAUUAGUAAACAUGAAAAUUCGAAAGAAAUCUCCUAAAAAUCUCUAAAAUUUGGUGUCAUAGUGUAACAUCUAAAUUCAAUAUCCAAAAACUAAAUGAACAUGUAUAUGUAUCUGAUAAUCAAAAUAAAGUAACACGACUCGAGCCGAGGCCCUGUCCGCGACGGGCAUCCCUAACCACAAAGGCCCAAAAGACCCCUUAGCAUCCAUCAUAAGAAUAAUUUAUAUAAAAAUCAAAGUGCAGAAGAUAAACUGAAAAUAUGAAUGUUCCAUAAUCAAACAUAAAAUAUCAUAACAUCAAACUAUAAGAAAAAAGUUAUCCAAUCCAGAAUAUUCUAUGAAGCUUCUACUGAGCUGAACAUACUACUCUGUCUAAACUGGGACAAGGUCCCCAGUUGGACCACAAAACUAAAAAAGAACCAACAGAUGGGAAAAAUGCAUUCCAAAGAAAGGGAGGAUCACCAACUCUGAAUAUAUGAAAUUAAUCUACUGGUUAGCAGGACCACGAGACUGAGCCUCAAAAUCUGAAAUAUAGGGAGUCAAUACUCGAAAGUACUGGUAUGUACAAUUCAAAAAUAUGACAUAUAUUUUUAUACAGCAUAAGUGAGAGAAUUUCAUGAAACAAUUUAGCAUAAGGUAAAUGAAAACACACGGGCAUAAUUUUGAUGAUCAAGUCAACAAUUCGUAUUACUUCUGAGCUAGAUGGUACACCAUACAAGUCUAUAAUUCCACGGGCUGUAUGGAAUCUGCCUUAGACUCGGUGGCCAAGCCCCCAACCCAAGUUGCUGCAAAGGCUGCAGUUUAUGAUUCUUAUAUGCAAAGGGCACAAGGCCAGCGUAUAAUCCCCUCUUUAAGGCACAUCCCCUCCUACAGGGAAUAAUAAAUCCCUCAUCGAUAAAACAUGAUUUCAGGCAAUCAGUUAUCUGAAUUUGUGCCUUCUUCAAGUAACCAUCUAAAUCUCUUCAAGCCCAAUUUUAACCUUUUAAAACCAUGAUUCUUGCUCAAAACAUUAAUUACUUUCAUGUUAAGGGCAUUUCGUAAAAGGUGUUGUCAUACCCAGACUUGCAAGCCAUAUCAUAUCAUGUCAUAUUCAUUGCCUUUUUCAUUCAAAUUCAUAUAAAUGACCACUCAAAGACUUAAACAUCACAAGAGAGUUCUUAGUUCGAAAGAACAUGAAAACUUAUGCAAACACGCUCUUUUUUAAAAGACUUAAGCAUGCGGUGACCAAUUCAAUCAUUUAAUUCAUGCAUUAUCUCUAUUAGGACACAAGAGCCUUUAGAAUAAGAGUCGCAUCCUUAAAACAUAUGAAACAACAAAGUAUAAUUGACUCAGAGGCUUUUAUGACUCAAAAAGCAUCAUCAAUCAUAAAGCAGUCCCAACAUAAAUUAUACAUAACUCUCAUGAUCAAGAAGGGAACUUAUAACUCAUGCUCUCCAACCCAUUUAACAAUUCAUAACAUGGUAAUAUCAUAAACUUCAUCAUGAAGGAGGAAUUUCCCCCAAAUCAUGCUCAUAAAAUUCUUUUCGAAAGCUCAUACCAUGAAUUCUCAUGAUUAUAACACAAGUGAUACAAGAAUGACAAGGAAAACACAAAAACAUACACUGAAUCAGUCCAUAAUCUUAAGGAUCCGAGGACUAAGAUGGAGACCACUCUCAGAUUCACUGCCAACAAUAAGAAUACAAAUAUUAGUGGUGUCUUUGGCACCAAAACAGCAACCCAAACUAAUGUUAAUAACAAUUUAUGAAGAGUAAAAUGAACAAUAACAAUGUGAAGAACAACAACACAUACCGGCUUUACAAUAACAACAUAGAAUCGGUUACAAGAUUACAAUAAGACAAAGAUAGAAAGAUAGACAAAUGAAUGGUAUAAUAUUAAUAACCCAAGAGCUUAUUCCACUCUUGGAUCUUUAAUACCACACACAACAUAAACCUAUCUCUUAUGUGACCUCAAGGGAAUGGGAUCCAACUAGCUACCAACACAAGUGAUUCCACACUUGUUUACGAAGAAUCCACCUUGCAGGACUCUCUCUCUCUCUAGAGUUCUCAAAUAUAUCAUCAAAGUUAUGACCAAAAGACCUAAUAUGUUCUAUUUAUAGUCUAGGUUACAACUUAUUACAAAAUGACUAUAAUGCCCUCAAUGAACCAAGACAAAGGGGCGGCCUUGGAGUGUAUAUAUUAGACGACUUUGGAGUGUUGGAGACUUUUAAUCUACACUUCAAAGCUUGUUCCGUUGGUUUACCAGCCACCCGAGCUCGAGCCUUUACGUAUUGGUGCACCAUCAUGAUUGUACUUGUAUCAUCCUCCCCUUCUUGAAAAGGAUUCGACCUCAAAUUUAAACCUUACAAAAUAAUAGAGAAGACAAAAGAACAUAUAUUCCUCAUGACAUGAGGGUUAACGUUAGCAUAAUCAAUAAAAAAAUUAUCAAACUACGAGUGUACAUUCUACACAUAUCGUGGGACCUUAGCGAAUAGGAUACCCUUCUAAGCACCAAAAGAAGUACUUCUCUAUCCAUCAAAGUGUGAAAAGAAACAAGACAAAAAAAGUGUAAUCAAACAUAGAAUCUUGCCAAGGUGGCUUAAACUUCACAUACACCCAAAAAUCCCUCUUACCCGAAUAACCUCCCAAGAAAGAGUCAACUAGUGUAUCUAUAUAAGUGUGACAACAAAUAAGUAUCAAGAGUUGCUCAUCAAGUGGAAAACAUAGAAUCUUCUUGGAACAACAAAUAGGCUUGAAAGCCGAGAUAGGAAGGUCAUACAUUCCAUGCACAUUCAAGCUAUUCCAAAAAACAUCCUCAUCACCAUGCUUCAAAUAAUCACCGAGAUCAAAUGGAUGGAGUGUCCAUGGACUCGGGUUUAGGAUGCAUUUCCUUUUCCCAAUACUACCACUUGUACAAUCAUAUAUACCCUCUAUACUAGCAUGGUCUACAACAAAAACAACUAGAGGUCAUCCAUAGUCAAUGGCCAACACGUUCAACAUCACCAUUUUCACAAACAAGUUGGUCUUCAUGACUUUCAUAAGACAAUAUACUAUCACUUGCCACAAUGGCUUCAACACUAGAUGGAUCAACUAGUGUUUCCACAAUCUCAAGUUGUACAUUAUCAUCACCAAAUGGAGGCACAUUCGGCUCACUUAAAGACAAACUAUCAUUCAUACUUAGUUGGCUACUAGCCUCAUUCACUAGAGUGCAAAAGUUAGUUUAAUCACCUUGUAGCUCAUGUGGAGCAUGUCCACUCAUGGAAACUUGAUUAGGAAGGCUUGGAUGCUCUAUCAAGUUAUCCAACUCCUUGCAAAAAGAGCUUUCUGUCCCUUUUAUUUUUCCUUCCACUCAGUCCAUUAUUCUUUCCAUUCUCUCCAUUGGAGUACAAAGGUCAUGUUUCAUACCCAUUAUGGCAACCAUCAUAUCAUUCAUGGUGACCUUUUCUAAUUCCAUAGUACCUAACAAGGGAAAUUCUAAAAUAAAAAUACAAAAAACAACAAACUAGUUAAUGUUAGAAAAGAAAACAUCUUCACAAGCUCUCAAGCUCUCACACUUUGAAAUGUCUCUCAAUUGGCCUCACAAGUGUUAGUAACUCGUUUAUAGUCCAAGGAGAUUGAUUGGUACUAUUGGGGCUCGAGGUCGGAAUAGAUUCUUUUUUGAAACAACUCAAAGAAAAUGCGUACGGACUUGAAUCAAGAAACUACAACAAAUUUCAAAAAGAUAAAAGCACAUAAAGAAAUGCAGACACGAAUAAAUGGACCCAAAACUAACUUACAACCUAGUAGGCAAUUACUAGUUUGUUAAUUAGUAAUAGAAUCAACAAAAGGCAACUAAGAGACAAAGAUUAGAAAAUAAGAAAUAAAAAAUUUGAGCCUAAUUGUGUUGCCUGAACAGUAAAACAUGAUGAUAUGGCAGCCACAUAAUUGGUCACGGUCUUAACAAAUUUUAUUUUGUAAAAUUGAAAGUCUUGAACAAUUUGUGAUUUGGAAUUGGUGGGAAUUGAUUUAGGAGGGAAACAAGUAUUGAAAUUCUAUUGUCAAAUACCAAAACUGGAAGACUUGACUUUUUUAUACCAUCCUCCUUAAAACAAGGAGAGUUUUUGAGAAGUGAUUAAGUAGUUGAUGGGUGAUGGAAAGUCUUUCAAGACUAACAAGCUUUCACCCUUUUCUCUUCAAAUUUCUAGAUCUAGUAUUCACUCUAUUUUAACUCUUGAAAGGGAUGAAGAACAUCAAGGACAACUUUAGCAAUCACCAAGAACACAACAAUCCCAGCAACCAAUUCCAACAACAACAACAAGGCCAACAAAUCACGGCCAAGUCCACCAAGAUGACAACAUAAUCGGCAAAGGCUUUAAGUUCACAACAAAUGCAAGCUCAAAUUUAGAUAUUGACUCAAGAGUGUUAUUGAUGAAGAAAACUAACACUUGAAACACCAAGACAAACAAAAUGACUCUCUUGGCCAAACACAACAAGAACUCAACAAACUUUCGGCCAAGAUCUAAACUCAAGAACACUAAAUUUUUUUUUGUAUUUUCAAAAAAGCUAGCCCAAGAUUGAUCUUGUGGGAACAAAAUCAAGACAUGCUUUGAUACCAAAUGAUACAAGAACGACAAGAAAGACACAAAAACAUACACCAAAUCAGUCCACAAUCUUAAGGAUCCGAGGACCAAGAUGGAGACCACUCUCGGAUUUGCUACCAACAACAAGAAUACAAGAAUUAGUGGUGUCUUUGGAACCAAAACAGCAACCCAAACUAAUGUUAACAACAAUUUAUGUAGAGUAAAAUGAACAAUAACAAUGUGAAGAACAACAACACAUACACGGCUUCACAAUAACAACAUACAAUCGGUUACAAGAUUAUAACAAGACAAAGAUAGAAAGAUAGACAAAUGGAUGGUAUAAUAUUAACAACCUAAGAGCUUAUUCCACUCUUGGACCUUUAAUACCAUACAUAACAUAAACCUAUCUCUUACAUGACCUCAAGGGAACGGGAUCCCCAAGCAAUCAACGUCUCAAACUAGCUACCAACACAAGUGAUUCCACACUUGUUUACAAGGAAUCCAUCUUGCAAGACUCUCUCUCUAGAGUUCUCAAAUAUAUCAUCAAAGUUAUGAACAAAAGACCUAAUAUGUUCUAUUUAUAGUCUAGGUUAUAACUUAUUAAAAAAUAACUAUAAUGCCCUUAAUGAACCAUGACAAAGGGGCGGCCUUGGAGUGUGCAUAUUGGACGACUUUAGAGUGUUGGAGACUUGUUCUCUACACUUCAAAGCUUGUUCCGUUGGUUCGCCAGCCACUCGAGCUUGAGCCUUUAGGUAUUGGUCCACAAUCACGAUUGUACUUGUAUCAAUAAGUUACCGAAAAACACAAUGAUAAACACAUUUUUCCUUCAAAAUGGAUUCAUGAUGCAUGCUCUUCAAAUGAUUUCAAAAACCCUUUUCAUAUACAUAUAUAUAUAUAUCCUUAAAACUUAUUAAAAACAUAAAAUUUAAGAUCAUGAAAUUUAAUAUAGUCCCAUAUACCAUUGAAUCGACGAAAACGCUCAGAAAAUUGACCCUUGAAGCUUAAUUCCUCAAGCCCUAGUUAGUCUCUCUUCUUUUGUUUAAGGAAGAUGACUUGGGGAUUUUGAGAACUGAAAUAAUGUAUGUUAAGACUCUAAUUUCGUCCAUAUAUGAUUAGGAAUAGUUAUAGGGUGUGAAAAAACCUCAACGCCCUUAAAAUAGAACAAAAUGGAGCAACUCAUGCCUCUUGGUUUUGGCCUUGUUGUGCACAGCCCCAAAGCCAACCUUAGGGUUGGCGGCGCACGCCAAAAGACAACCCCAUCCAGUGGCUAUUGGCAUUUGUUACACAAUGCGAGGCCUUUGAGGAGGGUCCAAUUCGUGACACACACUCAUUUUUAAGGCCAAAAAGCAACCCCAACUCAUCCCAUAACACCUAGAUAUGGUUUACCAUCGAUAUAGGGGUCUUAUGGGUCAUUUUUAAGGCAUUACUAGAGUGUUAAAACCAGUGGGUGUUACACAAAGAAAAAUAACUUUGCUUAGCUUUGCAAAUUUCACUUGCUAAUUUAUAAAAAUGGUUAGUUAUAAAAAAAAAUGAGGAUGAAAUAAUUAAAUAUCAAAAUUUCAAUAUAAUUCCAACUUUACAAUUUUAUUUGAAUUAAGCUUUUGAGUUAAAUAAGUUAACUUAAUCACUAAACGUUGACAUAACUACUAACUAUGAAAGAGUAUUCGUAAUUCUCAAGUAAGUCUCAAAGCUUAUAUUUACUUCAUUAGUGUGAAUUAUUUAUUUAAAAUAUAAAGUGACCAAAGUGAAACAUAUAGUUUUAACAUAACAUUUCACUCCAAGAAUUCAUCUAGAUUUGAUAAGUAAUACUAUUUGAAUUCAUCAAAUCAAGUUCAUCCAAAAUUGUUUAAUUUUCAUAUUUAUUUAAUGUACCAUUAAAAAUGACACGAAUAAACUCUCUAUAGUCAUGAUACAUAGUUAAUUGUGGAUGCAUUUUAAACAAGUAAUCCUCAAGAUACAUGCGGAUAUAUGUUAAAAGGGUGUAGAUACAUGGUUAAGGUAUCAUAACACAUGGUUUAGUCUAAGAUACAUUGCAUGUAUCCACAUGUAUAUUGGUUUACUCGUAGUAUCCGCAUGUAUUUGAGGGUUAUAAUAUGUAUCCAUGUAUCUGAAAUUCUUGUGGGAUAUUAUGUAACUAGUUUAAAAUAGUGAAAUAAUAAGUAGAUAUGGUGAGGAUGUUUGCGAAUUUAUGUCAUUACCUUUAUUGUCCGGACAUUUCCAAACCUACAGCAUAGUGGAAGCUUUAAUACCCAGAUUGAACUACCUUCUUUUAAAAAAAAUAAAAAGAUCUGGUAGGAAGUAAUUAAUAGGAAGCGACAUUAACAAACGACAAGUACAACAUAUCACUGGACUUUUAUUCAACCAACACAUAAAGAUUAAAGCACAUUUAAGAAAAUUACAACAACAAAAGUAUUUAGUAGCAUAGUACAUAGUUUAGUGUCAUAGAGAGACACAUACUUUGUGGACAUAAUUUCUUGGAGCAAAUUAGUGCUUCUUCUUAAGCUUUUCUAGAGCAAUAUUGCCACCAAUGCAAUAGUUCUCACUGCAGCUUUUCAUGCAAGUUCCAAAUAUCUCAUUAUCUGCAAAAUUAACCAGAAAGUUAAUGAGUGAGGACUAGGAGCAAGAUUAUAUAUUUAUCUACUUAUAUAUUUAAGACCUCUUAUAUAAGCCAAGACAUAACUGGUAAAGUUGUUGUCAUGUGAUCAGAAGGUGACAAGUUAAAGUCGUGGAAACAGUCGCUUGCAGAAAUGUGAGUUAAGUCUGCGUACCAAAAAUUUUUGUUGUUUCCCUGACCGUGCACAUAGCCGGAGCUUUAGUACACCGGGAUGCCCUUAGAUUGAUGUUCAAUUUUAAGCCAUUAAUUUUAUUUAGCCGUCCUUGUCUAUACAUCAUAAUCGAUAAAAUAACAACAUACAAAUAGCAAGAAAAGGCAAAGAGUAUUUAGUUAGCUACCAUUGAGAAAUUUGGAACAAAGACCAAGAGAACAUCCAAUCUUAUAAACAGUAGUAGUAGGGUUUGAAGUCUCAUCAGAAAUUGUUCCCCAUGGCAAAAAGCAAUGGAGGAUACAGCUAGGUAUGUCCUCAACAUGAGAUUUAGUUAAACAUUGAAAUGUACAUGGUGUGCCGGGUAUGCCACUGUCAAGGAUGCACUUAGCUAAGUUCUCAAUAGUUGUGUAAUUCUUUACACAAUCUAUCACACCAGCCAUAGCAUUAUGCUCUUUCAACACAAGCAUUGCAAUGAACAACACUACAACAACGUUCAAUGCCAUUGAGAGAGAAAGAGAGAGAGUAUUAAUUAGCACUAUAGAAAUAAUAGUUCGUUGAUUUGUUAUUUGGUUGAUGUGAAAAUAUAUAAGCUUUCAUUGUCUAUUUAUAGAGGAAACAUAUAUCAUUAUAUUGUUUUUAGAUUAUUAUAUCUAAGAUAAUUUGUGUGAUGGAUACUCAAUGGCGUAGUCACCUUAGCUUGUCCAAAGGUAUCUCAAUUGAGACCCCUUAAUUCGAUCAAAAAAUAUACUAUCUAUAUAUUCAGAGGAGGAAUUAGAGUUUGGAGGCUUUAAGGAAAGUUUUUCUCAUUUAAAAUUUCAAAGGGACAUAUGUAAAUAAAAACAAAUUUAAAAUGGACAAGGUAUUAAAAGUUAACGUCGUCAGUUACUCGGUAAAGUGCAAGGUAAAAUUGUGGUUUUACCUUACAAUGUAAAUAAAGUCACUUACGUCCAUAUUUAUUUGUCCACUUUUGUAUUUAUCCUUUGACUUAAAAAGUUGGUGAGGGUUGGGAAUUUAUUCACACUUAUGUACUCCCUUUUGUCCACUUUUGUAUUUUGGAAUGUCCAACAAUACUUUUUAUGGGUAUGGGUUCCCGAAAAUUCAAACCCGCUACCAUAAGGCUUAUAAUUAAAUGAGAAAAAUUAUCAAAACGUAUAAAUACUAAUCAGUGGGAACCCAUAAAUAAAUCAAGAGAUUACUCAAUGGUAGGAAAGGAAGCCCUUAGCUGUGUAUAUCUUGUGUCGUUGAAUGUGGGUUCGAUUCCUUGUAGAGGCAUUUAUUUUUUUCCCAUUUAAUUCUUUUGAGCCCCUAUUUUUUAUUGAAAAUCCACAAGUUUGAAAUCCUAGAUCCGCCUUUGUUGGGAGUCUGUUUUAUCUUACAAGGUAAAACGUGUCCUUACCUUAUUAAUUUUCUUUUAUAAACUACCCAUUUCAUUCAUUUCUUAUUUACAUUAUUUGUUUUUUCACCAAAAUCUCUAUUCGUGGGUUCUUCAAGAAUAGGAGAAUGUUCAACAGAAGCAUACAUUUCAAGAAACUGUAGAUUAAGGCAAUUACAAAAAAUUUCAAUGGUACAAAGAAAUAAAAAUAAAGAAUCAUCAUUCCAAAUAUGAGUUUCACAAAACAUUGAUUGUCCGUUGGACUUAAAAUAAUUCGGAUAUCAACUAAAAAUAACCAUAUCGUCUUGCGGAUUAGUAAUACUCAUUUUACUCCUAAUCAAGCUUUUCAAACAAUCAUAUUUGAGAGAUAAAGGAAACGAUUGAACCACUAUAGGAAGUCGACUUCAUCGCACUGAAUCUUCAUCAGGCAAAACUUGAUCACCCCAAUGUAAUUUUACUCUUACCUUAUUAUCAUCCAUCUUAAAGUAAGGGUGUUAAGUGGGCAGGACCGAAUCAAUCCGGAACCUGCCCGUGAGAUUUAGCCGGGUUGGGGGCCGAUCCGAAUCCAGGCCUGGUUAAACGGGCCAAUCUAGUUCUGGGCCCAACAAUAAAUUUUUUAAAAAUAAUCCUGAACCGGCCUACUUAACCCAACCCGGUCCAACCCACAUAAACCUGGUCAAAAUCGAUUAAAAAUCCGAUCAAAAUCAGUCAAAAAAACAAAGUUUUUUCUCCAAUAUACACUACAUAUACCCACCUAUAUACAUUUUAAAUAUGUUAAACAAUAUAUAUACAUAAUAUAUAUAGUAUAUACUACAUUAGAAUUUUAAAAAUAUAUACACACAUACACAAUUACACAUAUAUACGCACCAUUCAAUAUAUAUGUACUACUUUAAAUUUUAAAUAAAAUAUAGUAAAAUAUAUAUACAUUACAAUAUAUAUAUAUAUAUAUAUAUAUAUAGUUAUAUAUAUAGUUAUAUACUAAUUUAUAAAACAUAUACACAUGUAUACGUUAAAUAUACACGUCUAUAGAAGAUAUAUUCACAUAUAUACGCUCCAUUCAAUGUAUAUGUACUACUUUAAAUAAGAUAUACUACAAUAUAUAUACAUUACAAUNNNNNNNNNNNNNNNNNNNNNNNNNNNNNNNNNNNNNNNNNNNNNNNNNNNNNNNNNNNNNNNNNNNNNNNNNNNNNNNNNNNNNNNNNNNNNNNNNNNNNNNNNNNNNNNNNNNNNNNNNNNNNNNNNNNNNNNNNNAUAUACUACAAUAUAUACACACACUAAAUAUAUAGUUAUAUACUAAUUUAUAAAACAUAUACACAUGUAUACGUUAAAUAUAUACUGCUUUAGAAAAUAUACACACAUAUAUACGUACCACUCAAUAUAUACGUACACAUAUAAAAGAUAUGUACUUCUUUAAAUAAAACAUAUGCUACUUAAUAUAAUAAAUUAAUAAUAUUUUAUAGUAAAUUAGUAAUAUAUUAAAACUAAGUAUUUAAUUUAAACUAAAAAUUUAAUUUAAUUCAUUUAAUGGAAAAAAUUACAAAGUAAGGACUAAAGAGUGAAUGAAUGUUGAAUUUUAUUGAUUGCAAACUGAUCCAAAAUUUAUAAUUUAUAUGGAUGAAAAAUCUACAAAUUUUGCAUCAUUUUUUCCAACUCAUUCAUGUUAACAUUAACGGAAACUUGCAUAGGAUAGUCAAAGUCAACGGGGGAAAAACCAUGCAUUGGACUUGAUUCUACUGAGUUCACCCGUGAAGUCAUAAUUUCUUCAAGUCUCUGCUCGUCGUUCUACUCUACUUCCAUUCCUUGAUUUCUUCAUUCUGCUUUAAUCCAAUCUCUAAGGCAAACUAGAACAUUCAUUGCAUUGCUUCCCAAUGAAUGCUGCUUGUCUCCAACCUGUUGUCGUCGCUGACUAAAAACGUUCUCCGAUGCAACGAUUGACAUUGGAACAUUCAAGAUAUCUCUAGCUAAUCUUGAAAGCAUAGGAUAUUGUGCUUCAUUAUUCCUCCACCAAUCCAACGUUUUGAUCUGUUAUAUGCGAUCCUCUAGCGGCAAUCGGAGAUAAUACUUCAGCUCUUCCCAAUAAGUUGUUGUGUAAGCUCCCUCCUCAACACUAUUCCAACAAGGUAAAUCAUAAAAGUAUCAGAAAAGCCACUAUAUGCCGACUUUUUAGAAGAUGAUGGCUCCUCGGGAGGAGAAGGAGUGGCAGUUAGAGUGAUAUUUGUCGGUACAGCUAAAUCAACUAAAUCAGCGUAGUGGUUAUAUACUUUAUCUAUGCAAGCAUUCGGAUCGGCCAUAGCCGUCCACAAAUCAGUUUGUUCUUGUUCUUCAUCAUUAGAAUCAUUGUUAGUAUUUAUUUCUAAGUUAGCAUAAAUAAUAGUACUAAAGUGGCACAUAGUAUUAUAUUUCAUGCACGGAUUUAACAUAGCACCAACCAAGUAAAUAGGGGGAAUCGAAAAAAAUAUUUUUUAAAUUUAGCAAACAUGGCACCAACAGCUUCUUUGUAACUUCUUUAUUUUUAUAUUCUUUAAGCAAAUCAGAAAUAUCGGUUAUAUAUGCCAAAAUAUUAUAAAUAGUAGGAUAAUAAGCACCGAAAAAUUCAACCAUAACUAUAUAAAAUUUUUCCAAAAACUUAACAAGAUCAUUAAUUAUAGCCCAAUCAGAAUCAUGUAGUAUGCAGUGGGCGAAUCAGCAAACGAACCACAAUGUUGAUUAAAAGAUAGUGUAAUAGAAACUCUAUAUCUAUAACAAAUUUUUAAAAAAUCAUACCUAGCAUUGCAUCUAGUAUCACAUUCUUCAGGCAUCAAUAUCGGUGCAAGUCCAUUUUGUUCAUAUUUAAGUUUAAAGUCUUUAAUUCUUCUUCUACGAUUAUUUUCUUGAAUAAAACCAAUGACAAGCCGAAUUUUUUCAAUAUAAAGCUCAAAAAACUCAAGAUCAUCUCUUACAAUUAAAUUAUAUAUAUGACAAGCACAUUUAACAUGAAAAACUUCAGGUAACGGCGGAGAUAGCCUAAAUUUUAACUUUGUUAUAGCAGUCUUUUGUUAAAAGCAUUAUCAAUAGCAAUACAUAAGAUUUUAUUUUCAAUACCGUAAAAUCCUGUGACUUUAGCAAUCGAAUCAACAAUAAAAUCUCCAGUAUGUUUACGAUCUUCAUCAUAUAAAAAAUCAAUAAGACGUUUUUGCAUAACAAAAUUACUAUCUAUCCAGCGACAAGUAAUGGUUAAAUAAUUAUUUUUAUUUACAGCACGACCAAGAUCAGAAGUUAGGACAUUCUACAUUGAAUAUUUUUUAACAAUGUUGAUAAAUAAAAACAAUAUUGUGAAUGAAGUCUAAAAAUAUCGUCCCUACAAGUACUUCUAGAAAUACCAUUAAACAUAGGAUUAUAAAUUGCUUGAAGAUAAUGAAUAAAGAAAUCAGAAGAAGGAAAACUAAAAGGCAAAAAAUCCACAGCUACCAUUUUAGCUAUUUUUUUCGGUCCCUCAAUUUAUUAGACUUCUUUAUUACCGGACCGGUUGCUGGUCCAUUGUAGUUUGCGUUGGCCCACCAACAUCCGCACCACCUCGUGCAACAUUUAACUCUCUUUUGUGAUUAUCACUUAUAUGCCUCAUUAACGUACCCGUACCCCCUUGCUUGCCUCCUCUUUUAUGCUUAUAUAUUUGUUGACAAAUAUUGCAUUGCACCUCAAUAUCUGAUAUACGGUCAAAAAAUUGCCAUGAAAUACUAGUUGGUUUAUGAGAUCUUGGGGCAAGGGGCUGGACAGGUAGGGAGAUUAACCGAUUCAGAUCUAACGUUAGCAUUUCCUACUACGGGUGUCACCAAUAUUUUCAUCAUCUUCGUCUAAAUUAACCGCAUCUACUUCAUUUUCUUCUUCUAUACCAUAAUUUUUCUGAGCUUCUACAUAAUCCAUAUCGUGGGCACCUACACCUAUUUCUUCCUCAAAAAGUUGACUAAGCAGUACCAGAGGCGGAGGCACACGGGGAUAUCUACUACUUGAAGUACCUCCACCGCUAGUAAUUCACGUUUUACUACCACUACCACUUUCAAUUCUGGGAUAAAAAAUUUUAACACCUUUAGUGGCGAGGUUACUUAAUUUAUCCAUAAUAUAAAUUAAACUAAAAAAAAUCAAAAUACACAAAUAUAAUAAAAUUAAAUAUUCAACAAUUAAUACACAAAUUAAAAAUUAAACGUAAGAGAUAAAACGACAAUACCAAAUUUUAAAAGUAUUCGAAGGUUGCGACUUUAGAAACUUCCACUCGUACUUUGUAAUCGCAAAAUUAAAGUGAGCACUUUAGGAAAUUAAAUAUAUAGAAUAUUUGAGAAUUGAGAUUUGAGAGAGAAUGAAAAAUUGUGUGGAAAAUGAUUUGAAAGUGUAGGGUAUUUAUAGGAUUUUUUCUGGGGUUUAAAAAAAUAUUUUAAAUGAUUUUUUUUUUUAAUAAAAUUGGCCAAAGUAGCCGUUUGGACCCAAAAAUGGCUAUAUAGCCGUUAGGUCAAUGGCUACUUUUGGGCCCAAUGGUCCAACUUUGACUUUUUUUUAAAGAAAAAAAAUUAUCCAGGCCGGUUAACCGGCAGGCCUGGAUCGGGUUUGAUCUGGGCCGGAUUAAUCGGGCCCAAAAUAAAAAAUAACCCAACCCGGGAUCCGGGAUCCUACAGCUCGUAGCUGACCGGGCCGGGUUGACUAGAUGGGACGGGUCGGGCUGGGUCAGCCCGACUCGUUUGACACCCUUAUCUUAAAGUAAUAAAUGAAUAAGGUUCAACAAAUAUUUUGAGUUAUGUAUUUUGACAAUUUUCUUGAAUUGAUGCAAAUGAAAGAAAUCUACACUCACACUCUUUAUGUAGCACCAUGUGAUGAAGUUUGCAAUUGUUACAAGGCAAUCAUGGGAUCUUACCUUACAAGAUGAGAGUCCAUACUUGACUUCCCAUCAGCGAACAAAAGGAAAUUUAUCAUUUUCCUUGUCAGCGGUAAGUCUCAUCAUGCAGACACUCCUUCCCUAAGAGAAUUUAUUCUCCACUUUUUACAAUAAAUGAUAGGGUAAGUGACUCUUCUUGCUUCAAAUAAAAAAAAGGGUAAGUGACUCAAUUUACCUAUUAAGGUAAAAUCGUGAUUUUACCUUACACUUUACUAGGACGAGGUUAAAUUUUAAUGGACAAGGUAAACACUUACACCUGUGUUUACCUUGUCCAUUUUGAUUUAUUUUUUUUUCAUUUCAUUUGCUCUUUUGAAAUUUUGAAUAAAAAAACUUGUCGUUUAAGCUUCGAAUUAUAGGGAUUCAAUUUAACUCCCUUCGUGGAGAAUUACAUUGUAUAUAUAAAGAUAAUUUAUUUAUUUAUGUUUACUCCGCUACUAAUUACUAUAUAUAAAAUUUUUGCUAAUACACAUCUAGUCACCAAACACAAAGGAAGUGCCUUCUAAGAAAAGGACGAUACAUAAGAUACAAAUAAAAGCGAUACUAUGCAUCUUAACCAAAAGAAAAAAAAAAAAAAAUACUAUGCAUUAGUGGUACUUCUAAUGAUACUUCCUCUUUUUAUGUCCAAUGGUACUUUAUAAGGGACCAUACUUAUAAAAUGUGUUUUUCUCCCCUUAAUAUUUCAUGAGUAAGAAUCGUAAUUAUUAUUUUUUAAAGUUUUUUAAAUUCUAAAAUUUGAUUUUAUAAUAUUGAGUUGAGAUUGAAUCCAAUUUAUUAAUCGUCAAAUUGUCUCUCGAUAAUUGAGAAGUGUUAGAUAUAAAUUGAGGAAAAAGGAGUAAAUAGAUAAAUUGUGUGAAUUUGUGAGCAAUGAAAAUCCCUAUUCGAUUCUCGGUGUCACCCUGGCCCAAGAGUGACAUUUGAGACACCUUCGCAGGAUUUACCAUGAAUGAGAUGAACAAAAAACUUGUAACAAAAUAAAGAAAUUAAGAAAGGAACAAAACAUGAGAUGAAAACAAAACAUAUACUUAUGUGAUCACGCAGUAUCAAUAAUCCACUCUCAAUUAUUGUAAAAGUAAUUUACCAAAUAUGCAAGAAAGGGUUCAUGAACAAUAAAAUUUCUCUCUAUAUAUAUUUAUGUAUAUAUAUAAUUUUUUGAUUUUUCGAUUUAGUACCGGCACCAGCAUUUAAAUUAUUCUUAUUCUAACAUAAGUAAAUUGUCUGAAUUUAUGUGAUGGAGAAUCUCUAUUUGAUUAGUGUCUAUGCCACCCUUGUCCUGAAGUGUCAUCUGAGACCCGUUCACAAGAUUUAGCAGAAUGGAAUGAACAGAAAACUUUUGACAAAAUAAAGAAAUUAAGAAAGAAACAAUACAUUAGAUAAAAACAAAAAAAGUACUUAUGUAUCACACAAUAUUAUCAAUGGUCCAAUCUCAAUAAUUGUAAAAACAAACCAAAUAGGCAGAAGGGUUCACUUCAUGAACAACAAAAUUUCAAAUUUCUUUUACUUUAUUUCAUUUGUUUUUUGGGUUUUCAAUUCGGUGCCGAUACCGACAUUCGAAUUCGUAUGACAUGAAUCCUAUUUACGAGGAAAACACUCUCCUAACAAGAUUUCUUUUUUUUUCACAGGAUCAAAGACUUGAAAGUUUGCAAGGAAUUUGAGUUUUAAUUUUCCUAACAAAAUUAAUAAUUCUAUCACGACUCGAACCGAGGUCUUGGUCGCGAUAGGUAUUCCAAACCAUGAAGGUCCGAGACACCCCUUAGCUUAUAAUCACAAGCAUAACUCACAUGGGAAAACAAUGCGGAAGAUAAACUGAAAACAUGGUAGUCCCGUAAACAAACUUAAAACUUCGUAACAUUUUAUAAAAAGGAAACCCAAAUUCAAUCUAAAACAGUCUACGAAGUCUCAACUAAACUAAAAUAAUAGUCUAUCUAAACCUGGGAAAGGCCCCCGAUCGGACCAUAAAACAACUGAAAACUGACACAUGCAUAGGAUGCCUUCCGAAGUAAAGGAGGCUCACCAACUCUGGAUUCUUGAAACAAUCUACUGCUGUUGAACUGGACCCCGGGACUGAGCCUCAGAUCUUACAUUAUGAGACAAUGUAGCCGCCACAGAGGACGGUCAAUACUUUGAAUGUAUAGGUGUGUAGAACAAUUCAAAAGCAGUGUAAAUCAUAUAACAUAAUCAAAAACAUUAUGAAAUCAGUUUAACAUUGCUAGAAAAAAAUUACAUGGGCAUAUUUAAAGAAAUUUCAAAACAUUCGGACUUUAGUUCUGAGUUAAAUGGUACAACUUAUAUAAAGUCAAUCCCAAGGGCUAUAUGAGAUCUUCCCUUAACUCAGCGGUUAAGCCUCUAAUUCAAGUUUGCCGCAACGAUUGGAGUUUUUAUAAACUGGCAUACCCCCCAUGUGAGUAUACCACAGGAAUGACCCAAUGUGUGAUGUCUCUAUUAUCCUCCCAUAUAGGAUAACAUAUCAUAAAUCCCACGUCAGAAAAAUAUGGUUCCCAGCAAUGAGCCCUUACACUCAAAUAUCUUUUUCGGGUAACCAUCUAACUCUCUUUAAGCCCAAUUUUAAUACUUUAAAACUAUGCUUCUUUCUUUGAUUUCUAAUUCUAUUAAGGGUCUAUCAUAACAGGGUAUUGUCAUACCUAGACUUGCAAGCCAUAUCAUUUCAUAUCACAUGCAUAUCCGUUUCCAUUCAAAACAUAUUAACAACCACAAAAAGAUUUUUCAUAUUAUGUGAGGGUUCUUAUUUCAAAAUCAUAUGUAUCUUAUGCAUGAACACCCUCUGUUUUCUAGACUUACACAUGUGGUGGAAAAUGUUUUCAUUUAUCACAAGCAAUUUCUUCGUUUGGAUACAAGGGCCUUUUUAUCAUGGAAAAUACCCUUUUUAAAACUUGUAUAACAACAAUGCAAGAUAGUCUAAGAUGUCUUUAAACUCAAGGAUUAUAAUCAUCCAUAAAACAACCCCAACACUUGUCACACGUAACUAUUAUAAUAGAAAAUAAGGGGUCUAUAAUGCUUGUCCUCAAUCCCAACUCACAAUUCAUGAUACAUUAACAUCAUAAUUUCAUCAUGAAAAAAGGGAUUUGACAACUCAUGCUCAAAAUCACAUUUUGAAAACUCAUCACAUUUAUGCACAAGAUUUUAGAUCAUGCUCUUUAAUUGAUUCUCAAAAUCAAACAUAUACAUAUACAUAAUUAUUAUUAGAACGUAUAAAGAAAACAUAAUUUAUCCCAUGGUAUUUAGAAUAGUCCUCCACACCUUUUUGAUGAACCAGAAUUCAAAAUAGCUUGAAAUCUAGCCUUGGGAGUAUGAGCCUUGGAGGAAACCCUAAUCUUUUUUUCCCUUGAGAAUGGUGAGGAUAAUGCGUGUUUGAAACUGAUUAGCGAUAUGUAACAAUGAUUACUGGUUGAUUUAAUUCAUGGGGGAGGGUUUUAGUGUGAGGAAAAGACAAAAAUACCCCUAAAAACUGAAUAAAAUCUUUGGAAUUUCUUUAGUUGAUGACUUUAUUGAUAGUUUGUCAACUAGUUAAUGGCUUGUUAACCUAGUUGUCUACUCCUCUUUAUGAUCUAGUUAUAGUUGAUGACUUGAUUAAUAGCCUGUAAACUAAUUAACAGCUUGUCAACAUAGUCGUCAACUCCUUCAGUGAUGCUGGAUGCUUCUGGUUAAGGCUGACGACGAGGUUGAUAGCUCGUCACUUAGUUGAUGGCUUAUCACCUCUAGUCGUCACCUUGAUAAAAGAUGGACAUGCUGAGGUAAAAUAGGCAUAACUUUCGACUUCGAUUAAUUUUAGAACUGAAUAUGAUUAAUUUUGAUGCUAUUCUGCGGAUGGAUUGGCUCCAUUCGUGUUAUGAUACAUUAGACUGUAGAACUAGAAAGGUUGCUUUCUCUUUUCCAAAUGAGUCUGUAAUAGAGUGGGAAGGGUAUUCUUUUGCACCUAGAGAAAAGUUCAUAUCUCAUCUUAGAGCCCGUAAGCUCAUAUAUAAGGGUUGUUUAUAUCAUCUUGUUUGGUUCAAAGAUUCUAGUACUGAAAGUUCUUCUCUCGAGUCAGUUUCUGUAGUUAAUGAAUUCUCAGAAGUCUUUCCUGAUGACUUCCCCAAGAUACCCCCAGAUAAGAAGAUAGAUUUUGGCAUUGACCUGNNNNNNNNNNNNNNNNNNNNNNNNNNNNNNNNNNNNNNNNNNNNNNNNNNNNNNNNNGAGUACUGUCAAGGCUCGAGAUAACCCUUAGCAUUUAAUCAUGAGCAUAACUCACAUGAUAUAACAAUGCAAAAGAUAAAUUGAAAACAUAGUAGUCCCGUAAACAAACUUAAAACUUUAUAACAAUGUAUAAAAAGGGAACCCAAAUCCAGUCUAAAAUAGUCUAUGAAGUCUCUAUUGAACUGAAACAAUAGUCUAUCUAAAUCGGGACAAGGUCCCCGGCCAGACCAUAAAACAACUGAAAACUAACACAUGAAUAGGAUGUCUUCAGAAGUAAGGGAGGCUCAACAACUCUGGACUCUUGGAACAAUCUACUGUUGCUGAACUGGACCCCAGGACUGAGCCUCAGAUCAUACAUUAUGUGAUAAUGUAGUCUCCAUGGAUGACGGUCAAUACUUUGAAUGUAUAGGUGUGUAGAACAAUUCAAAAGUAGUGUAAAUCAUAUAACAUGAUCAAAAACAUUAUGAAAAUAGUUUAACAUUGCUAGAAAUAAAUCUCAUAGGCAUAUUUAAAGAAAUUCAAAAACAUUUGGCUAAACACAUGAGCUCAACUUCUUGAAUUUAGUUCUAAGCUAGAUGGUAUACCCUACAUACAGUCAAUCCCACGGGCUAUAUGUGAUCCGCCCUUAACUCGACGGUCAAGCCCCCAAUCCAAGUUUACCGCGAGGAUUGGAGUUUUCAUAAACUGGCAUACCCCCCAUGUGAGUAUACCACACCACAGGAAUGAAAAAAUGUGAUGUCUCUAUUAUCCUCCCAUAUAGGAUAACAUAUCAUAAACCUCACAUCAGAAAAUCAUGAUUCCCAGUAAUGAGCCCUUACACUCAAAUGCCUUUUUUGGGUAACCAUCUAACUCUCUUUAAGCCCAAUUUUAAUACUUUAAAACUAUGCUUCUUUCUUUGAUUUCCAAUUCUAUUAAGGGUCUAGCACAACAGGGUAUCGUCAUCCCUAGACUUGCAAGCCAUAUCAUUUCAUAUCACAUCCAUAUCCGUUUCUAUUCAAAACAUAUUAACAACCACAAAAAUAUCUAUCAUAUUACGUGAGGGUUCUUAUUUCAAAAUCAUAUGCAUCUUGUGCAUAAACACCCUCUGUUUUCAAGACUUACACAUGUGGUGGGAAAUAUUUUCAUUUAUCACAUGAAAUUUCUUCGUUUGGAUACAAGGCACUUUUUAUCAUGGAAAACACCUUUUUUUAAAACGUGUAUAACAACAAUACAAGAUAGUCUAAGAUGACUUUAAACUCAAGGUUUAUCAUCAUGCAAAAAACAACCCCAACACUUAUUACACGUAACCCUUAUAAUCGAAAGGGGGAGGGGGGUUAUAAUGCGUGUUCUAAAGCCCAAAUCACAAUUCAUGAUAUAUUAAAAUCAUAAUCUCUUCAUGGAAAAAUGAAUUUCACAACUCAUGCUCAAAAUCACAUUUCGAAAACUCAUCACAUAUAUGCACAAGAUUUUAAAUCAUGCUCUUUAAUUGAUUCUCAAAAUUGAAUAUAUACAUAUACAUAAUUAUCAUUCAAAUCCAUAAAGAAAACAUAAUUUAGCCCAUGAUAUUUAGAUUAGUCCUACACACUUUUUUGAUGAUCAAGAAUUCGAUAUAACUUGAAAUCUAGCCUUGAGAGUAUUAGCCUUGGAGGAAAACCUAAUUUUUCUUUAUCUUGAGGGUGGUGAGGAUAAUGCAUGUUUGAAACUAAUUAGCGAUAUGAAACAAUGCUUAUUGGUUGAUUUAAGUCAUGGGGGAGGUUUCGGGUGAGGAAAAAGAUCAAAAUACCCCUAAAGAAACUGAAUAAAAUUGCUGGAAUUUCUUUAGUUGAUGACUUCAAUAGCCUGUCAACUGGUUGACGGCUUGUCAACCUAGUCGUCAACUCGUCUUCCUGAUCUAGUUAUGCUUGAUGACUUGGUUGAUAGCCUGUCAACUAUUUGACGGCUUGUCAACCUAGUCGUCAACUCCUUCAGUAGUGUUGGGUGCUUCUGGUUAAGGCUGGUGAUGCAGUUGAUAGCUCGUCACUUAGUGGAUGACUUAUCACCUCUAGUCGUCACCUUGAUAAUAGAUGGACAUGCUGAGGUAAAAUUGGCAUAACUUUCCACUCUGAUAUCGGAUUAAGGUAAAACUAGAUGCAGUCGAAAGAUGACUCAAAAACCUUUCAAUUGAUAUAUAGUAGGACACCUGAAUCGAUAUAUUCUAGGAGAUACACACAUAUAAACUGGACCCUAGUUGGUGCAUCCAUCAAACUCUAUCGAUAGAAAAGUCCUCAACUCAUCCUUGAGUUAGGAGGUUCUUAUGACCUUGAUUCGUAUACAAGGAUAUUCCCACACCAUAGAUUUGAUAAUCACACAUAUAUAUACAUAUAAUAAUGGGUUUCAAGUCUGUAUACAUAGAAUCAAUGGUUAAAUUUCUAGCUUGAAAACGUGGAAUGUUACAUUUUCCUCUUUAUAGAUCAACUUGGCAGACAUGCAUGAUUUACUAAAAAUAGGAUGACAUAGCAAGAAACAUAAAUAGUAGUCUAAUAGGAUUGCUUCCGUCCUUUAUUUGCAAGUUGUCCCUCAAAAACAUGGAGUCAUUGACACUUAGGCCUUUAUUUAAUGUUGGUAUUUAACUCAUUUCUCUUAAAAUAAGAGAUUUUUUUGUAGGUUACAAGUUUGCAUUUUCGUAUUAUACUAUCUCAUAAAUUAUGUCUCACAAGACAUCAGCUUCUAAAGAAUUUAUGUUUCGGCACCGAAGGGUGUGACGUUGUGGUUCAAUGAAUUGGGUUUGGGCAUCAUGAGGUCUCAGGUUCAAUUGUCAUCACACACAUUCGGUGGUUUCUUCUCAUCUUCUUUAGCCUGUGUGGGCAGAGUUACAUAGUACCUGUUAUUGUUGGAAGGUAGCAGGUAUUUCAUGGGAUUAAUAAAGGUGAGCGCAACCUGAAUUAAACACCACAGUUAUAAAAAAAAAAAUUAUGUCCCACCAAGUAAAACAUAAAUUGCUAAAAGGAAAAAAUUAAAGACCGGCACAUUUUAUGGGAAAAAUUUAAAGAUCGACUCAUUUAAGGGACAAUUCAUGCAAAUUUAUGAAAAAAUAAGAUUUGCUCAAUCAGCUGAUCAAAUUUGAAUUGGUUAUUUCCUUGUUCAUUUAUUAAAUCAAUUCAUUUCAUCCUAAGCAAUUUUACCUCAUCAAAAAUUGAGUUGAUACGCUGUCACGAUCGAAAAAUCAGGUCAUGAUGACACUUAUUGCGGCUCAAAUUUGAUAAGCAAGGAAAAACGAAGUACAAUAAAUACACACCAAGGCAAGACUUCUAGAAUGCAGUCAGACCCUAAAACAUAAAUAAACAUGAAAAUUUAAAAGAAAUCUCAUAAAUCCCCAAAAUAUAGUGUCAUAGUGUAACAUUUAAAUACAAUAUCGGAAACUAAAUGAACAUGUAUAUGUCUCUGAUAAUCAAAAUAAAGACAAAUAAGUUUGCUUAGCUUUGUAAAUUUGACUUGCUGAUUAAUAAAAAUGGUUUGUUAUAACAAAAUGAGGAUGAAAUAAUUAAAUAUCAAAGUUUCACUAUAGUUCUAACUUUACAAUUUAUUCGAAUUAAGCUUUUGAGUUAAACAAGUUAACUUAAUCACUAAACGUUGACAUAACUGCUAACCAUGAAAGAGUAUUUGUAAUUCUCAAGUUAGUUUCAAAGCUUAUAUUUACUUAAUUAAUGUGAAUUAUUUAAAAUAUAAAGUGACCAAAGUGAAAUAAAUAAUUUCAACAUAACACUUAACUCCAAAAAUUCAUCUAGAUUAAAUAAGUAAAAUUAUUUGAAUUCAUCUGAUCAAGGUAAUCAGAAAUUGUUCCCCAUGGCAAAAUGCAAUGAAAGAUCAGUUAGGCAUGUCCUCAACAUGAGAUUUAGUUAAACAUUGAAAUGUACAUGGUUUAAUUCAUUACACAAUCUAUCACAUCAGCCAUAGCAUUAUGCUCUUUUAACAUAAGCAUCGCAAUGAACAACACGUGUUCAAAGUUUAAAGGACAAAUUUUUUCAUUCAAAUUUUCAAAGAGGCAUGUGAAAAAAAAAAAAAAAAAUUAGACAAGGUAAACAUCUGUAUUUACCUUAUUCAUUAAAAGUUAACGCCAUCAAUUAUCUGAUAAAGUGCAAGGUAAAAUCAUAGUUUUACCUUUACAAGGUAAAUGACAUCACUUACCUUAUCUUUUGAUUGAAAGAGUUGAUGGGGGUUGGAAAUUUAUGAUAUCUUUUGAGAUAAGAGAAUUAGCUAUCAAGUUGAUCGGAGUAGAAGCUUGUUAGUGCACACUAUAAGCAUCAUGUGUGGGCAGUUAGUUAGAGAUAAGUUAGACGUGACAACUGUCAAUGUACAACUGUCCCAAGGAGCCAAACUAGUUUAUAAAUAGCAUGUAAUAGAGCUCAAUGUACUUGAACAAAUUCACUGAGUGAAAUUGAUACUUUCUAGAUUAUUCUUCUCUCUUAUUACUCUUAGCUCAUGUAGAAACUUAACAUGGAAUCAGAGACAACCACUCACUGAUCAACCACUCAUGUUGAUCACACACAAUCAGUGAAGAACUUUGUAGCAGUUUAGCUCGUCUCACCUUGAAGACUACAACCAUAGCAUUACACGUAAUUCUACUGCAGAAGCUACACAAACAGCUGCUACACCAAUAAAUGUGGAUGCACGAUCUGAUAUAAUUAAGAUUGACCAUAAUCAUCCCUUAUAUUUUCAUCCUAAUGACACUUCAGGUAGCUCCCUAAUUUCCAUUCAACUUACUGGUUCUUAAAAUUAUACCCUGUAAAGUGGAUCAAUGACUCUUAGCCUUAUAGGGAAGAAUAAUGUUGGAAUUGUUGAUGGUCAUUAUCCUAAAUCUCAUUUUGAUGCAUCUUUACAUGAUCAAUGGGAGAGAAUGAAUGCUAUGGUGUUGUCAUGGAUCAUGAAUUCAAUACGAAAUGAUCUUCUAAGCAACAUUAUAUAUGUUUCUAAUGAUCAUCAUGUCUGGAUAGAUUUGAAGGAGAGGUUUGAUAAAGUCAAUGGUUCUAGAGUAUUUGUUCUGCAUAGGGUCUUAAAAUUAGGUCUUGGUCCUAAUUCACACCAUAAAAUCUAGCUCAUAGGGAGGAGGAUUGUCCAAACCUUAUAAAGAGACCACCCAUCUCAUUAACCAUCACUGUGAGACUUUCUCUCUUUCUUUAACAUCCCACCUCAUGCCCAAUCCUAGUUAAUUGGGCAUGGACAAUCUCCCUGAAAUCUUAAUUUAGGGACCCAACAUUGGGCGAGAUGGGCCAUACUCUAAUACUAUCUUAAAAUUGGUAUUAAGCCUCUCACACCCCAAAAUCUAGCUCAUAGGGGGGAGGAUUUCUCAUGAAGACCACCAUAAAUGAGCAAAGGUUUUUAAAACUGGAAGAAGUACUCAUAACGGAAAUUCAACAAAAAUAAGAGUACUACUUUGAGCAAUAAUAGUACUAGAAAAAGUGCAUGACCAAAACACUAUGGGAUGAAUUUGAUGCCCUUUUGCCUUCUCCUAGGUGUAAUUGUUCUGAAUCUAGGAGCUAUUCUCAACAUUUUGAGUAUCAGAGAAUUUUUCAAUUUAUUAUGGGGCUCAAUAAGUCAUACUCCCACUGUAGAAGCCAGAUCCUAUUGAUGAUGCCUAUUCAAUCUAUCAACAAGGUGUACUCCAUGAUUGUAGAUCAUGAGAGUAAAAAAAUUAUCACUAGUGUCUCUCCCAUUAGUCACAGAGCUGACAAUUUAGAGGCAGCAACCCUUUUUACUCUUAAGUUAGGUGUUAAGGAAAAGGGAGAGUAUUUGGGACCUAGAAGUUCUGGUAGUGGAUAUUCAGCAACUAGCCUGAAGUCCAAGGAGGUGGUUAUGAAGGGAGGAAGUCAGUAUGCACAUCAAGUAGGUCAUGUUGCACCAUCUGCUCAUCAUGCAGUUGACUCUCCUCAUCAUUCAGUUGACUUCCCUGUAGACUUACAGUCUACCAGAGAUCAGGGUUCUCAAUCGAGUUUGUCCUCUCCUGUACCACAUUUUACAUAUGAACACUAUAAUUAGGUUGUCAUUAUGCUCAACCAAAAGAAUGAUGAAAAGGACUCUUGUCCACCAGUAGCAAAUGUAGGUUCUACACUAUCUUCAACUACUAUUUUUAUAAGUAACAGUUGGAUUAUUGAUACUGGUGCUACUAACCAUAUGGUUUAUAAUCUUGAUCUGCUUCAUAGCCAUGAAGUGUCUCUCUCUUCACAAAAUAAGGUGUACUUGCCUACAGGUAGUGAGGCUGAAGUGUCUCACAAAGGAUCAUCUAUUGUGUUAAGCAAUUCCCCAUCUCUGAUAUUUUGUAUUUGCCAGAGUUUAAAUAUAAUAUUCUUUCUGCCUCAAAGUUGACUAGGGAAUUGCAGUGUUUAGUGGCAUUUUUUCCUAACUUCUGCAUAUUCUAGGAUCUCGGUACUGACAUGGUGUUGGGGAUUGGUAGAGAAGAUCAAGGUCUACAUAUUCUCUAAAGAAGAUCUGCUCAGAAAGUUGGUGUACAUAAGUGGGCUAAUAAUGUAAGAUGUCUGCUGACUCUAGUGUUCUUUGGCACAGAAUAAUGGGACAUUCCCCAAUAUAAGUGCUUAAUAAACACACUACACUAAGUCAUCUGAAGUAUGGAGAUCAUGUGUGAAUUGUAUGUCCUCUUGCAAGACAUGUCAAGCUGUCUUUCCAGCCUAACUUUUUUGUAUCCAAGGCUCCCUUUGCACUAGUACAUUGUGAUAUCUGGGGCCCCAAUAAAGUUCCUACUCAUAAUAAUAAAAGGUUCUUUGUCACUAUAGUAGAUGAUUAUUCUGGAUUUACUUGGUUGUUCCUUGUUAAAUUCAAGUUUGAGGUAAUCGUAGUGCUAAAGGAGUUUCUGAUUAGGGUGCACAGCUUGUUCUCUACUUCUGUAAAGGUACUUAGAACUGAUAAUAGAAGUGAAUUUUUUAGUUAUAAGUUAAAAUCUCUUAUGUGUUCUCUUGGCAUAUUGCAUCAAAUGUCUUCUGUUUAUACCCCUCAGCAAAAUUGAGUUGUUGAAAAAAAGCAUAGAACAAUCUUGGGGAUUGCUAUCCCUCAGUUUUUAAGCUGGUAUUACUCUUAAGUUUUGGGGUGAGUGUGUUGAAAGUGUCGUGUAUCUUCUCAACAGAAUACCCUCAAAAAUUUUACAUCAUAAAUCCCCCCUGUGAGUUGCUGCAUCAAUAAUCUCCAUCUUUGUCUCAUGUGAAUGUAUUUGGUUGUCUUGAAUAUACAUCCAGUUCUUAUGGUUCAGACAAAUUUGCAGCCAGGGCUACUUCUAGUGUGUUAAUGGGGUAUUUAUCUACUCAAACAGGUUAUAGGCUGUAUGACCUUCACUCUAAGUUCUUCUUCAUGAGUAGAAAUAUCAUAUUUCAUGAUUCUAUCUUUCCCUUCCUUAAAGCUUAAUCUAUUGGAUCUUCCAUCUUCCCUAUACUACACAUUUCUUCUGUUGAGAUCCCUUUAUUAUCUCUAUACUUUCCAUCUGCAGUUCCUGUGCAGGAACCUGAGACCGGUCCUUCCCCAACCUCUCUUCCUACUGGUUCUUCCCCACAUCCUACACAGUUACACAUUCUAUCAGUCCCUUCUCAUUCUUCCACACUCAGAAAUUCCACUAGAAUAACACAUUUUCCCUUAUGGAUGCAUAACUUUAUUACCUCUAAGCCUACUUUAGCUCAUCAAUUCCUAUACCCUCUAUCUUUCUAUGAUUCUUUCUCUCACUUAUUACCUCAUUACAGUCAUGCUCUAUCAGUUUAUUCCUCUAUUCCAUAAUCAUCUUCUUUCCUUGAGGCAUCUAAAGAUACAUCUUGGAUUAAAGCUAUGAAAAUGGAGAUUGCAGCCCUUGAAGAGAAUAACACCUGGUCUAUUAUAGAUUUUCCCUCUGGCAAGGUUCCUAUUGGACAUAGGAGGGUAUACAAAGUUAGGUAUAAAGCCUCUGAGGAAGUAGAAAGGUACAAGGGUAAACUAGUAGCCAAGGGCUAUAGUCAAAAGGCUGGGGUAGAUUACUCAGACACCUUUUCACCUGUUGGUAAAAUGGUGACUGUCAGAUCCCUUAUUAAUCUUGAUGCUUCUAGACGGUGGUGCAUCUUUCAGAUAGAUGUCCAUAAUGUUUUCCUUAAUGGUGAUCUAUUAGACUAAGUUUACAUGAAAAUUCUUGAUGGUUUUUGCAGAUAGGGGGAGACUCAGAAGGUCUGCAAACUACACAAGUCCCUGUAUGGCUUGAAACAUGCCCCUAGUCAGUAGGACAAAAAGUUAACUGAUGGACUCUCACAAAUGGGAUAUGUUCAGAUUUAUUUUGACUAUUCUCUGUUCACUGAGAAGUCAAGUGUUGACACAAUGGUCAUUUUGGUCUAUGUGGAUGACCUAUUAGUUACUAGGAACAACAUGAUCUUAAUAAAUCAAGAAAAAGUAGACCGACAACAGAAAUUAAAAAUAAAGAACCUUGGAGACUUGAAGUUCUUCUUGGGAAUAAAAGUAGCCAGAUCCAAAGAAGGAAUAGUUUUAAGCCAAAGAAAGUAUGCUCUUGAGCUUAUCUCUGAGGCUGGUCUGAGUAAGAAAGUCCUGCUUGUACUCCACUCGAAGUAAACCUGAAGUUAACUUUAGUAGAAUAUGGUGAUCAUAUCCAGUAGAUAAUGCAGUCCUCAAGGAUCCAGCAGUUUAUUAGAGAUUAGUAUGAAGAUUGAUAUAUCUUACCAUGACCAGACCAAACUUAUCAUUUUUAGUACAUGUACUAAGUUAGUACAUGCACCAUUCAAACACCUCACAUAUAGAAACUUCUCUAAGAGUAGUAAGAUAUGUAAAAGCAAGUUUGGUCUAGAGCUAUUUAUGCCUGCAAAAUCCACAAAUAAGUUGACUGCCUAUUGUUACUCUGAUUGGGGUGCUUGCUUGCAAAUAAGAAGAUCAGUUGCAGGAUAUGUAGUAAAGUUUGGAGAUUCUCUGAUUUCUUGAAAGUCAAAGAAACAAGAUACUAUCUCUAGAAGUUCUGUAGAAGCAGAGUUUAGAAGCAUGGCUAAAUUUACAUGGUUACUUGGACUGUUUCAAGAACUAGGAGUUCAAAUAAAACAACCAGUAGAUUUGACGUGUCAUAACAAGGCAGCCAUACAAAUUUCAGCUAAUCUUAUAUUUCAUAAGAGGACAAAACACAUUGACAUAGAUUGUCACUUUGUGAGGGAAAGAAUUAACAAAACAUGAUCAAGACUAAUCAUGUGAACUUUGGAGAGCAUAUUACAGAUAUUCUCAUAAAAGCCUUGGGAAGACACCAACACGAGUACUUGCUCAACCAACUGGGAAUGAAGAACCUUUUCAAGCCAUCAACUUAAGGGGGAGUGUUGAGCUAAGAGAGUUGGCUAUCAAGUUGAUGGGAGUAGAAUCCUGUUAGUGCACACUAUAAGCAUGUGUGGGUAGUUAGUUAGAGAUUAGUUAGAAGUGACAGCUGUCAAGGUACAGAUUUCACAAGGAGCCAAACUAUUUUAUAAAUAGCAUGUAAUAGAGCUCAAUGUACUUGAACAAAUUCAGUUAUUGAAAUUGAUUUGUAACACCCCAUACUUAAUUACGUGCAUUAGCCAUGGUUACAUGUGUUGGAGUAUAUGUAUUGAUCAUAAGUUAGGUAUAUAUGAGUUUAAGUAUGAGUAUUGAUUAUUUUGAGAUGGUUUCAAGUGUAUAGUUUGAUUAUAUGUGUAUAGGAAUCGACUUUAUUUAUACCGGAAUUUGCUCGUCGAAGUUUCUAUAUGAAGUUUAUCGAGUUAGCUUUCCAACGAUAUAAAGAUUUCUGAAAACAGAUAAGUAUCGGAAAUAAGCGAGCAUGUUCGAAACUUGAAAACGCUGGACGCAAUGAACAGUAAAUGUGUAGAAAUUUUCUGCACACAAAAGUACUGCAGCCAAACAGAUUUUUGGGUCGACUUUAAACGAUCAUAAAUCCUUGUGAAAAAUGAACUGUGUGAGCUGCUAUAUAUCGAUGAGAAGCCCUGAGAGUCUUAUUUCUAAUGCAAUUGGUUUCAUUCAAAUCCGACAUCUGAGUAAUGAGUUAUACUCGUUUUACUUCAGCCUCUCAAAAUAGAUUUUUAGGGUCAACUUCAAACGAUCAUAACUCCUUGUACAGGACGAACUGGGUGGCCUACUUUAUAUNNNNNNNNNNNNNNNNNNNNNNNNNNNNNNNNNNNNNNNNNNNNNNNNNNNNNNNNNNNNNNNNNNNNNNNNNNNNNNNNNNNNNNNNNNNNNNNNNNNNNNNNNNNNNNNNNNNNNNNNNNNNNNNNNNNNNNNNNNNNNNNNNNNNNNNNNNNNNNNNNNNNNNNNNNNNNNNNNNNNNNNNNNNNNNNNNNNNNNNNNNNNNNNNNNNNNNNNNNNNNNNNNNNNNNNNNNNNNNNNNNNNNNNNNNNNNNNNNNNNNNNNNNNNNNNNNNNNNNNNNNNNNNNNNNNNNNNNNNNNNNNNNNNNNNNNNNNNNNNNNNNNNNNNNNNNNNNNNNNNNNNNNNNNNNNNNNNNNNNNNNNNNNNNNNNNNNNNNNNNNNNNNNNNNNNNNNNNNNNNNNNNNNNNNNNNNNNNNNNNNNNNNNNNNNNNNNNNNNNNNNNNNNNNNNNNNNNNNNNNNNNNNNNNNNNNNNNNNNNNNNNNNNNNNNNNNNNNNNNNNNNNNNNNNNNNNNNNNNNNNNNNNNNNNNNNNNNNNNNNNNNNNNNNNNNNNNNNNNNNNNNNNNNNNNNNNNNNNNNNNNNNNNNNNNNNNNNNNNNNNNNNNNNNNNNNNNNNGUGAAGGGAUUUUGUGUGAUGAUGUGGUAUUGAAAUGAUGAUUAUAUAUAUAUACACACAUAAACCCCUUGUUCAAGUUGGGUUUUGGAAUGUUUUGCACAUAUUGGUAGUAUGGAAUUAUGGAAGAGAAUUGUGGUGUUGGGUUGCUAAUACUAGAUGCCAAACAUUUCAUUGUAGAUAAGUGAUUUGUAAAGGCGGGAAGUUGUGUUGAAUUGGUAUCCGAAUCUACAACGAGGUAUGUAAAGCAUACUCUAACGAUGUUCUUUGGCAUGAAAACACCAAUGUUCCAUCAAGUAAGAUUCCGAGGUUGUCCAAAAACAUGUAUUGUUCUACAUUACCAACGAAGUUGUUUCCAUUCUAUAAAGUGUCAAAAUGUUUCAUUGAUAUACCGAAAGGCUCCUAUUUCAUUGUUGUGAUAUUGAUGAUUCCGAAACACAUUGUUGAUGUACCAAUGAGUCUUUAUUACAUCGUUAUUGUAUAGAAAGUCUAUUACUUGGUUCCUAUUGAUGUAUCAUUAUUCCAAAGGUACUAUAUUGGCAUGAACACUAAUGUAAUAAUCUCAAAAGCUUUUGAACUAAGUUAUUGGAAAGAUCUCUUAUGUGUGUUACUUGAUAUAGUGUGGGUGGUAUCUCAGGGGCUUAAGCCUAGCAUGGGCCGAUCCCGAUAUUUGAUAUGAUUACAGUUGAUAUGUACUGGAGGCAGCCUAAUGGUCACAGUAUGGUACAGUAUUGAUUAUUGUUAGGUGGUUGGAGGUUCGGGAGGAGGAGGUAAUGGCGAAUGAUAAUUGUAAAGAAUGAAAUGAACGAAUGUAUACCGUUCCACAAAUGUGUUUGAAUUCAAGAACCCAAUUCAGAUUAAUGAUAAGAUAAUGUACAUGAUCCUAAAAGUGUUUAUGAAGUGUGGUUCACUUCUAUUAUGAUUUAUUCACUUGCGUCUGAUUUUCUUGAUCCCCCAUACCACAUAUGAUUAUUUACAGCUUUACAUACUCAGUACAUAUUUCGUACUGAUGUCCCUCACGGGGGACCUGCAUUUCAUGCUGCAGGCACAGGUGCUUCAGCUCACUCACAGCAUAGAUAGGAGUCAGGUCAUACAGCUAUUGUUGGUGAGCUCCAAUUUGCUUCGGAGCUUUCCGAGUCGGUCCCUUAUGUUUUGUUAUUGUACAGGAGUCAUGUGUGGGCGGGGGUUUGUCCCGACCCUAGUUAUGUCAUGUAUAUCCUAGAGGCUUUGUAGACAUAAGGAAGGGUAAAGUCAUGGAAGUUUAUAUAGUGAUGUUAUAUUUGUAUAUGUGGUGGCCCCGACGGCCAAGUAUUUUAUAUAUUUAUAUUUGUGCGUGUUGUGCUGAUACAGGUAAUUAGACUCUUCUAUAUGCAACGAAAUGCUGUCCAAAUUUUUGGUGACAUGUAAGUGAAAGUACAGGUAUUUGAACGGAUUCUCCCGGGCCUCCUCGGCUUUGGGUGCCAGUUCGGCCCGAUGGGAUUUUGGGGCGUGACAUGAUCCCUUCUAGAUUCUUCUUCUCUCUUGUUGCUGUUAGCUCAUGUAGAAACUUAACAACAUCAUAUCGAUGUACUUAACCUUUCACCUGAGAAUGGGUAAAGCGACUAUAACCUUACAAGACAUGAAACUCAUGUUUGGAUUGGCCGUAGAUGGAACUCUCAUUUUCAUCCGGGUGCUGCUCAGAUGUUAUCUAUUAACAGACAACAAAUGUUUGCCAAAUUAACAGGGUGGAUACCAACCUAGACUUCUUUCAAGGAAACAGGAUUUUUUAAUGGUCCGGGACAUUCCCAAACCUCGUGCACAGUGGAAGCUUUAGUACACGAAUUGGACUACCUUGUUUUUUACAAAAUAAAAAGAUCUAGUAGGAAGUAAUUAAGAGGAAGCAACAUUAACAAACAGCAACUACAACACAUUACUGGACUUUUAUUCAACCAACACAUACAGAUUAAAAGGGAAUUUUUUAAAAUUACAACCACAAAAGUAUUUAGUAGCAUAGUACAUAAUUUAGUGUCAUAGACAGACACAUACUUUGUGGACAUAAUUUCUUGGAGCAAAUUAAUGCUUCUUCUUAAGCUUUCUCUAGAGCAACAUUGCCGCCAAUGCAAUAGUUCUCACUGCAGCUUUUCAUGCAAGUUCCAAAUAUCUCAUUAUCUGCAGAAUUAACCAGAAAGUUAAUGAGUGAGGACUAGGAGAAAGAUUAUAUAGUUAUAUGCUUAUAUAUUUUUGGCCUCUUAUAUGAUCCUAGACAUAACUGAAAAAGUUAUUGUCAUGUGAUCAGGAGGUGAUAGGUUAAAGUCGUGGAAGUAGUCUCUUGCAGAAAUAUGAGAUAAGUCUACAUACCAAAAACUUAGAUUAAUGUUCAGUUUUAAGCCAUUAAUUUUAUUUAGUCGUCCUUGUCUAUACAUCAUAAUCGAUAAAAUAACAACAUACAAAUAGCAAGAAAGGCAAAGAGUAUUUAGUUAUUUACCAUUGAGAAAUUUGGAACAAAGACCAAGAGAACAUCCAAUCUUACAAACAGUAGUAGUAGGGUUUGAAGUCUCAUCAGAAAUUGUUCCCCAUGGCAAAAAGCAAUGGAGGAUACAGCUAGGUAUGUCCUCAACAUGAGAUUUAGUUAAACAUUGAAAUGUACAUGGUGUGCCGGGUAUGCCACUGUCAAGGAUGCACUUAGCUAAGUUCUCAAUAGUUGUGUAAUUCUUUACACAAUCUAUCACACCAGCCAUAGCAUUAUGCUCUUUCAACACAAGCAUUGCAAUGAACAACAAUACAACAACUUUCAAUGCCAUUGAGAGAGAGAAACAGAGAAGGUUAAUUUGCACUAUAGAAAUAAUAGUUCGUUGAUUUGUUAUUUGGUUGAUGUGAAAAUGUAUAAGCUUGCAUUGUC